UCGAGAAAGCUUAUGAUAAGGUUAAAUGACCAUUCCUACAACAAGCCUUACGUAUGAAGGGAUUUGACGCGGUAUGGAGGAAACACAUUGAAUCCUUUGUACAAAAAGGAAGCGUUGGAAUCAAAGUUAAUAAUGAUAUUGGUCAUUACUUCCAAAUGCACAAAGGUCUUCUGCAGGGAGACCCAAUGUCCCCCAUCCUAUUUAAUGUAGUUGCGGACAUGUUGGCAAUUCUAAUACUCUCUUCGUUUCAGUUUAUAAGUCCCGCACGUAUAUUUAGGUCAUCAAUGUGAUCAACUUAAUGAGAGGCAUAUAUUACAAAAAAUAUAUCAUUAGAAACUUUAGAUGUUCUAUUUUUUAAUGAUAUAAUUUUUAUGUUAAACAAUAUAUUUUAUAUAAGUCAAAUUGACGACCUAGGUACACGUGCAUGCCUUAUAAACUAUGACGGAGGGAGUAGGAAGGUCUAAAGAGGAAGGCCAGGUAGGUGGACUAGUACCACAUCUAGUGGAUGGUGGUGUGUCUAUUCUACAAUACGCAGAUGACACUAUUUUAUUUAUGGAACACGAUAUAGAAAAAGCGAGAAACAUGAAACUUAUGCUUUGCUUAUUCGAACAGUUAUCGGGCUUGAAAAUUAGUUUUCACAAGAGUGAAUUGUUCUGUUUUGGAAGAGCCAAAGAUGAACAAGAUAUAUAUAAACAACUGUUCGGAUGUGAAUUGGGAAUCAGUUAUCUAGGCAUACCAAUUCACCACCGUAAGCUAUCAAACAAAGAGUGAAAGUGUAUUGAGAACCGUUUUGAGAAAAACUAAGCUACUGGAAGGGUAAACUCUUGUCUUAUGGAGCUAAUAUUGAUUAUCUCAGUUCUUACGAGUAUGCAUAUGUUCUUUCUAUCCUUCUUUGAGGUACCAGUAGGGGUACGCAAAAGGCUGAACUUUUAUCGAUCCCGCUUUUUCUGGCUGAGUGAUGAAGUUAAGAGGAAACACAUACUUACUAGGUGGGAUAUUAUAUGUAGACCCAAGGACCAGGAAGGUCUGGAGAUUGAAAAUUUAGAAGUAAAGAAUAUGUGUUUGCUCAGUAAAUGGUUGUUCAGACUAUCUGUGGAGACAGAAGGUAUGUGGGUACAUAUUUUACGUAACAAGUACUUGCAAUCUAAAACCUUGGCCCAGGUCAUAGUCAGACCCAAUGAUUCAUCAUUAGGAAAGGCUUGAUGAAAAUGAAAACAAUCUUUUCCAUAGAGCUAAAUUUAUCAUUGAAAAUGGAGAGUCCACAAGAUUCUGAAAGGAUACGUGGUUGGAAGAGACGCCUCUAGCCAUACAAUAUCCAUCUCUCUAUAAUAUUGUGCAACGCAAGGAGGCGUACAUCGCAUAAUAUUACAGUCUAAUCCUCUAAAUAUUCAAUUCCGACAAGGUUUAAUAGGUCAUCGAUGGGAGGCUUGGUUACACUUAGUUAGAAGACUCAUGGAUGUCCAGUUAUCGGAGGAGUCCGAUAGGCUUCAUUGGAAGCUAACAACUAACGUCAUCUUUAGACCGAAAUCGAUGUAUUUAAACCUUAUUGACACAACACCAAUCUCCAAGUCGAUUUAUAUCUGGAAUGUCAAAGUACCCUUACGAAUCAAAGUCUUCAUGUGGUUUAUUCACAAUAAGGUGAUUCUCACUAAGAAUAAUUUGGCAAAGCGCAAUUGGGAGGGAAGUAAACGAUGUAGUUUUUGUGAUCAUGAUGAAACUAUCAAACUCCUUUUUCUCCAAUGUCCGCUAGCAAUUUUUUUUAUGGCAAACAGUUCGUAUAGCCUUUAAUAUCAUACCUCCCGAUAGCAUUGGAACGUUGUUUGGGACGUGGCUAAAUGGAGUGGACAUAAUUAUUUCUAGAUUUAUUCGUAUAGGAGUAUGUGCAUUAAUUUGGCUAUAUGGAACUGCGGGAAUGACAUGACUUUUAAUAGACAGACACAUAUAAAUUUUGUGACAGGGCAUCGCCGUUGAUCCAUACAUGGUCGUUACUCACUCGUGUGAAACCACGAAGCCUUUGGUUACUGGGUUUAUCCGGUGGGAGAUGGUAUACAGCUCGGCAUAACUACAACCGAUUUGGAUGACGGUCCAGUAAUAGCAUAGAUGGUUAGGCAUCUAGGCCUAUGUUAUUCGGUUGUGGCAUCCUUUGGUUUUAUUUUGAAUUAUUUUGCUGCUCCUUUAAAGCUUGUUCGAAACCGUAAAUUAUUUAUUGCUUUCUUUAAUAAAAUGGCUGCAUGUAUCGUAUUGAUGCAGAAGCCGAAGGUAAUCUUUUUUUUUUUUUAAAGAAAGCAAAUGGUUAAGUAGGGAAAAAAGUGUAAACCUGAUCUACAUUAUACGUAUAGCAUAGCCAAGCAAUGCUUGGCUAGUGGACUAGCACAUCUACGUCCUGUCCGAAGAAUCGUGUCGCCACGCCCUAGGCCAUGGUCCAUAUUUCUUGGUCCUGGGCUAGAUCAUAUCGAAACUUGCUCCACGCCACAAAUAACACUGCACGGUACAUAUGGUAAAUCNGAUCGGAUCUCAUCGAUCCUAUCCCCGACAACGACACUAUCGUCCAAUCAAAAUAUCUCCCCUAUAUAUCUUUCCUAAUAAUAAAGCGCGCAGUGCGUCUGUUGUCCGUCGUCGGUCAUUUUAUAAAAAAGCCCUCGUAGUUUCAGUUAAUUAACCCGCAGUCCAACUCUAAGUCAGAACGAACCGUUUUCUGUUAUUUUGCAGAAAAGUCCUCACAGUUUUAGAUAAUCAACCCGCGGUCCACCUUUUAGUCAGAGCCGAACCCUUUUUUUUUACAGUUUACAGGAAACUCCCUUAUGUUUCAGGUAAUCAACCCGCCGUCCCUAUUUAAGUCAGCCGAAACGUUUUUUUUUUGUUUUAACAAAAAAAACCUGACUUUUCAGUUAAUCAAUCCAUAUUUUAUCUAAAACAAAAUUAUCCAUAUCUUUUAAACCGUAACUCCGAUUUUAACAUGUUACAUAUGAAAUUUGAUUAAAAAAUGUGUAGAAUCUAAAUAGGAUGUUAUUUUUAGCUGUUAAAUACUUCUUAAAUAUUAUUUUUGGUGCAAACUUAAUCUGUAAUGCACUGUCUUUUUUCUCUCUCUUUCCGACGACCAUACGAAUUGCAAUAAAUAUUCAUUAAAUUAAAACUAAAUUGAGAGGAAAGAAAACAUCGUUAACCACACAUGAACACCUUUGGAAAAUCUCGUGGAGAGAAACAACAUAUUUCUCAUCUUAUUCCGAGUGAUUGUACAUUCAAACGCGUUUUCGUUGUGUGAGCACUGAGGCCAUCGUCGACAACACAAAUGUGCUAAUAUAUUACGUUCAAAGCGUGUGUUAUUUUUUUUCCGUUGCAACGCACGGGCUUUUUUGCUAGUAAUAAUAAAGCACGCAGUGCUUCUGCCGUACGUUGCCAUUUUUUUUGCAAAAACACUCCUUGCUUUUCGGUAUUCAACUCGUAGUCCGUUUUUAAGUCUUGCAUUUUGCAAAAAAAAACCCUGAUAUUUUAGGUAAUCAACCCGCAGUCCGGAUUUAAGGCCCUGUUUGUUUCAUAAGUCCUAAGACUUUUUUAAGUCCCAACUUAUAAGUCAUAAGUCCCUACCUGUUUGUUUACACGGACUUAUAAGCCCUGAAUCCCUAUCUGUUUGUUUACAGGGACUUAUAAGUCCAUGUUGCACCUAAUAAUACACUUGCAUAGGGACGCGGGGAUCGUCAUCAGCCAUGGCGCGGUAACCUGCAGUCAACAUGGAUCGUCAUCAGCCAAAGCGUACGGCACACAGGAUAAGCACCGCUGCAACGAGGCAGAAACGGGGCGACGAACGAAUGGGACGGGGCGGCGACGAGGCGACGAACCGAGGCAGAAACGGGGCGACGGAACGAACGGGACGGGGCGGCGACGGGGCGACGGGGCGAGGUCCGGCCCGGGAUAAGUCCCAAUAAGCUCCUCCGUGAGAGUCUUAUUUGAUAAGUCCCAAAUCACCACAAUAAGUCCCAAUAAGUCCCUUGUGUUUGGUUUAGGUGGGACUUAUAGGGACUUAAACCAAUAAGUCUCUGGAAACAAACACCCUCUAAGUCAGAAAACGAAUCGUUUUUUUGCAUUUUUCCAAAACCCCCCUGAUGUUUCAGGUAAUCAACCCGCCCUCCGUAUUUUAACAAAAAAACCCUAACUUUUGAGUUAAUCAAUCCACAUUUUAUCUAAAACAAAAUUAUCCAUAUCUUUUAAACCGUAACUCCGAUUUUAACAUGUUAUAUAUGAAAUUUAAUUAAAAAAAUGUGUAGAAUCUAAAUAUGAUGUUAUUUCUAGCUGUUGAAUACUUCGUAAAUAUUAUUUUUGGUGCAAACUUAAUCUGUAAUGCACGGUCCUUUUUCUCUCUCUUUCGGGCGACGAUACGAAUUGCAAUAAACAUCCAUUAAAUUAAAACCAAAUUGAGAGGAAAGAAAACAUCGUUAACAACACAUGCACACCUUUGGAAAACCUCAUGGGGAGAAACAACAUAUUUCUCAUCUUAUUCCGAGUGACUGUAUAUUCAAACGCGUUUUCAUUGUGUGAGCACUAAAGCCAUCGUCGACAAUACAAAUGUGAUGUCAUGUGAAAAUAUAUUGCGUUCAGAGCAUGUGUUAUUUUCUCUUCCGUUACAACGCACGGGCUCUUUUGCUAGUACCUCUCCAAUGGACGUUCUUGUCCCACGCUCUCAAAGCGACCCCUAGGUACCAUAUGCAUGGCAUGGCAUCACCAGUAGAAUAUAGGAUUUUGGUUCUGCUCAAAUAAGAGCAAUAGUCCCUGGUCGUGCUAUGAACCGAGAUUAAUGAGAGCAUCAAUUCCGGUUCGAACGGUCAGGACGCGUGUCGGGCCUCGUCAGGCAUCAGUCCUGGUUCGAGUGGGACUUUAUUUCCGGUUUCACACACUAACCGGGACUAAACGGCCUCCCUCCUGACGCAGCCCCUUUAGUCUCGGUUGGUGUUUGGAACCGAGACUAAAAGUCAUUCUUCAGUCCCGAACACCAACCGAGACUACAAAGAUUUCUAUAUAUACGCAUGGCCUUAUCCGUUUUUGGCCAUAGGUGGUGGGAGAUGUGUGAUGUACUCUGUUCUCACUUCCUAUGCAUAGCAGGUGUUCGAUGAAAUGCCCGAGCCACACUUAAGCUUUUUCCUCUGUUCUUCCCCCAAGCUCGACCUCCAAGCUUCAUUUUCCCCAAGUUUUGUCUAGGUUUGGCGGUGCACCAACUAUCCAAGUGUUUAAAAAAGAUUAGCAACUUCAUCCUUUUAUCUCUCACUGCUAGUUUAGCUCAUUUUAAAUGCUCUAGAAGUAGUGUGAUUUGUGGGUUUUAGUGGAGGAGUGUAUGUGUGAGUUUAUUUGGUUUAGAUGCCCAAUUUGAGCUCAAUUUAACUUCUUAGUUUGCACAUGUGUAUGGUGCCGUCCCAUCCCCAUCACCGUUAUCGGUGUCAAAAUCGGCGGAUCUCGGGUAGGGGGUCCCGUGCUGUGGACCUUGGAUUGAUGGGUUAUAGAAGACGAAGGAGAAAAUGUUUUACCCAGGUUCGGGCCCUUUUGAGGAGGUAAAACCCUAUGUCCUGCUCGAUUAUAUUUAUGUGGAUGAGAAUUACAUAGUUGGUCUACCUUGAGAUUGUAUGAGCUAAAACCCUAGAUGAGUCACCCUCCCCAUACGGAUGAAACCCUCUGGUUUAUAUAGACACCAAGGUUUCCUAGGGUUACAUACAACCGACCUCCAGCCGGGGACAGAUGGGCCGAUCUAGCCUUCUUAGCUUGGAUGACACGCUGAUACGUCUCCAUCGUAUCUACUUUUCCGAACUCUUUUGCCCUUGUUUUGGACUCUAAUUUGCAUGAUUUGAAUGGAACUAACCUGGACUGACGUUGUUUUCAGCAGAAUUGCCUUGGUGUUGUUUUUGUGCAGAAAUGGAAGUUCUCAAAACGUCGUGAAAAUUUACGGAGAAUAUUUCUGGAAAAUAUGAAAAAUACCUGCGCAAAGAUCCACCGGAGGGGAUGGGCCAGUGGGCCACAAGCCUUGUAGCCGCCACCCAAUCUCAGCUCUAUAAUUUCACUUUUGUCCCAGAAAAAAUCAAGAGAGAAGAUUUCGUCGUGUUUGCGAUACGGAGGCGCUGCCACAUCCUUUCUUCAUCUGGAGGGCAGAUCUGGAGUCCGUUUUGGGCUCCGGAGAGGGGAAAUCGUCGCCAUCGUCAUCAUCAACCUUCUUCCCUCUCCAAUUCCAUGAAGCUCUUCAUCGUUCGUGAGUAAUCUAUUCGUAGGCUCGUUGGGCGGUGAUGAGUAGGAUGAGAUCUAUCAUGUAAUCGAGUUAGUUUUGACGGGGAUUGAUCCCUAGUAUCCACUAUGUUUUGAGAUUGAUGUUGCUACUAUUUUGCCAUGCUUAAUGCUUGUCACUAGGGCCCGAGUGCCAUGAUUUCAGAUCUGAAAUUAUUAUGUUGUCACCAAUAUAUGUGUGUUUUAGAUCCGAUCUUGCAAGUUGUAGUUACCUACUAUGUGUUAUGAUCCGGCAACCCCGGAGUGACAAUAACCGAAACCACUCCCGGUGAUGACCAUAGUUUGAGGAGUUCAUGUGUUCACCAAGUGCUAAUGCGUUGGUCUGGUUCUUUAUUGAAAGGAGAACCUUAAUACCCUGUAGUUUCCUUUUGGACCCCGCUUCCACGGGAGGGAUGGACAAUAGAUGUCAUGCAAGUUCUUUUCCCUAAGCAUGUAUGACGACACACGGAAUGCAUGCCUACAUCACAUUGACGAACGGGAGCUAGCCACAUAUCUCUCCGUGUUAUAACUAUUGCAUGACGAAUAUCAUCCAAACAAAUCACCGACCCAUUGCCUACGAGUUUGUGCCACUGCUGCUGUUACUUGUUUUGCUCUGCUGCUGUUACUACUAUUGUUGCUGCUGUUACUUGCUCUGCUGUUACUUGCUACUGUUGCUACUUGCUACUGUUGUUACUUGCUACUGUUGCUAUUUGCUACUGUUGUCACUACUGCUGUUCCUUGCCACUUCUGCUACUCGUUACACUGCUGCUACCUGCCACAAUUCUGAUUCGCUCGACGUUGACGGGAAAAGACAAUUUCCGUCAACGGGCAACGGCUGGCGCCACUGAUACAAUCGUUAGGAAUAGUCUGCCGUUAACAGAUUGUUUCUGACACUGUUGUUAUCAUAUUACUUUGUUGUUGAUACUUUGCUUGCAGAUACUAAUCUUUCAGGUGUGGUUGAAUCUGACACAUUCAGCUGCUAAUACUUGAGAAUAUCCUCUCACUUCCUUGGCGAAUCAACAAAUUUGGGUUGAAUACUCUACCCUCGAAAACUGCCUCGAUCCCACGCGCUGGUGGGUUAUUGCAAGACAAUUUCUAAUUGUUGAGCAAUCGAGAAUAGCACUCGUCUAGUGAUACGUCUCAAACGUAUCUAUAAUUUUUGAUGGUUUCAUGUUGUUAUCUUGUCAUCUUUAGAUGUUUUAUGUACCUUUUAUAUAUUUUUUGGGACUAACUUAUUAAUUCAGUGCCAAGUGCCAAUGUUUUUUCCUGUGUUUUUGGCUCUUUUCAGAUCUGAUUUUGGAACGGAGUCCAACGGAAUAAAAUCCCUGAAAUGAUUUUUUUCCGAACGGAAGAAGAUCAGGGGACCUGUGGGCCAAGCCAGGAGGGCUCUAGGGAGCCCACAAUCCCCCACUCCGCCACUAGGAGGGGAGGCGGUGGUGUCAUGGCUUGUGGCCUCCCUGAGCACUCCCUGACCUAGAUCUUUGGCCUAUAUAUUCCCUAAAAUACAUCAAAAAAUCAGGGGAUCCAUGAAAAUACUUUUCCACCGCCGCAAGCUUCCGUUUCCGCGAGAUCUCAUCUGGAGACCCUUCCCGGCGCCCUGACGGAGGGGACUUUGGAGUUGGAGGGCUUCUUCAUCAUCAUCAUCGCCCCUCCAAUGACUCGUGAGUAGUUCACUUCAGACCUACGGGUCCGUAGUUAGUAGCUAGAUGGCUUCUUCUCUCUCUCGGAUCUUCAAUACAUAGUUCUCCAUGAUCUUCAUGGAGAUCUAUCCGAUGUAAUCUUCUUUAGCGGUGUGUUUGUAAAGAUCCGAUGAAUUGUGGAUUUGUGAUCAGAUUAUCUACGAUAUAUAAUUGAGUCUUUGCUGAUUUCUUAUAUGCAUGAUUUUAUAUCCUUGUAAGUCUCUCCGAGUCUUUGGUUUUGUUUGGCCAACUAGAUCUAUGAUUCUUGCAAUGGGAGAAGUGCUUGGUUUUGGGUUCUUACCAUGUGGUGACCUUUCCCAGUGACAGUAGGGGCAGCAAGGCACACAUUAAGUAGUUGCCAUCAAGGGUAACAAGAUGGGCUCUGUCGUUGAUAUGAGAUUGUCCAUCUACAUCAUUUCAUCUUGCUUAAGGCGUUACUCUGUUCUUUUGGACUUAAUACACUAGAUGCAUGCUGGAUAGCGGUCGACGUGUGGAGUAAUAGUAGUAGAUGCGGACAGUAUCGGUCUACUUGUUUUGGACGUGAUGCCUAUAGAUAUAAUCAUUGCCAUAGAUGACAUGACGACUUUGCGCGGUUCUAUCAAUUGCUCGACAGUAAUUUGUUCACCAACCCUCUACUUGCUUUCAUGAGAGAAGCCACUAGUAAACACUACGGCCCCCGGGUCUAUUCACAUCUAUCAUUUCCACUUUCGCUUUUACUUUGCUUUGUUACUUUGUUGCUUUCAGUUCUCACUUGGCGAACAAUCUAUAAGGGAUUGACAACCCCUUCAUAGCGUUGGGAGCAAGCUUUUUGUGUUUGUGCAGGAUCUUGUGAUACUCCUCCACUGGAUUGAUACCUUGGUUCUCAUACUGAGGGAAAUACUUACCACCGCUGCGCUACAUCACCCUUUCCGCUUCGAGGGAACACCAACGCAAGGCUCCAAGGCCACGGGGGAAAUCCUUUGCAUAUUUUCCUAGGAAGUCCCUUAAGGCGUAGCCGUACCACAAGGAUUCCUGGUGCUGUCGACACGACUAUUUCUGGCGUCGUUGGAAGGUCUUUUUUUGAAGUAGCAUCUAGCCAUUGCCAGAGAGUGCCAGUCACACGCAAGUCUUUGGAGCAUUCCUUCUCGAGCAUGAGGUUGUCGCACAAUCCGGUCUUCAACAACACGACCCAUUAGGUGGGUACAUAAGGGAUGGGCGGACCAUCCAAGGACCACUUAGUCCCGGACUCCCUCAGUAGCUCCCGAACUGGCCUCCACCGCCGAUGUAUAUGGUCUUCGGCAGCUCCGCAUAUCCAGAAUCAUCGGCUUGCAAGGCGAAUUCCCUUCAGGUUUGGCUGGUUUCGACUUGGUCGUUUGGUAAUGUCGUUCCUUUAAAACAUGCAUUGCUCAACCCAAAAGCUUAAAAGCCCGGGUGUGAGCAGUUCCUUAUCUGACAGCCUUUCUGACGAAAGGUCGUGAUAGCCAGUUAUGAAAAAACUCGAUUCGCGGCUCGAGGCCAUUUUCCCAUGGGCAUGUCUAAUCAAUGAGGAGAUCGUGCCCUACAUUUAGGGGGAUACGAAUAAUGGUCUGGGUUAUCCCGCGCGCGUUCAAUGACGCGGUCGUUUCGGGAAGUGGCAGGGCCUGCGGUGCAGUAAACGGGAACCCUUAGUUUUACGGCCUCCCAUAAAAGGGAAAAGAUCCUCAAAGCCACCACAUGCAUUCCAGACUUGACCCCCUUUCCUUCAAGCUCCAAGCGCCCAGAUCCAUUUCGUCGUCCAUCCUCUCCCAACCGCCCUUUCCCAAGCUCAGCAAUGGACGACUGAGGCUCCCAAGGCAUGUUGGAGAUCUCAUGCGUCUCCGCCAAGGAUAUGAGGGAGUUGAAGUUCGCCUGCUACCUCUCUCCCAACAUCGCCCACCGUGCACCGUAAGAAGGCCAGGCGGUGCCUACACCAAAGCCCGACGAGUGGGUGGUGUUCGUCCCCCACUUCAUCCGAGGACUAGGGUUCCCGCUCCACCCCUUCAUCAGGGGCCUGAUGUUCUUCUACGGUUUAGAUUUUCACGAUCUUCCCUCAAACACCUUCAUGCAUAUCUCCGCUUUCAUCACUGUUUUUGAGGCCUUCCUGCGGGAUCAACCGCACUUCGGCCUAUGACUCAAGGCCUUCAAUGUCAAGCUAAAGACGAUCAACGGUUAACACGCCGACUACGGAGGAGACGUGAUCGUCAAACUCCCCCGCGUCCAUAUCUGGCCAUCUCCGGCCCGACUCGGACCGGCCCGAGAAAAUGGGGCCUGGGAGGGCCUGGCCUGGGCCUGAAAAUUAGGCCCUAGCAGUUAUUGGGGCUGGGCCUGGGCUUCAAGAAUAGAGCAAAAAUCGGUCCGGCCGGCCCUCUCGCAGCAAACAAUCAACAACCCAAGUGCUACAUGGCCCGAAAAAAACCCUAGACUCCACGAGACCACGACUCCACCAGGCUCCAGCGGUCCAGCGACUCCAUCUUCAUCCCUUCUAUCCUUUCUCCUCUGCCCGUGCUACAUGGCGGCGGCGGCCGAUCCAUCUCCAAGCUAGCCUGCAUCGCCGGCCGUCCAACUACAGCGCCGGCGGCCGUCUGUCUCUCCAGCGGUCCAGCCCCUCGCCUCUUUCUCGCCGGUCGUCGGUCGCCACAUCUCGAGGCUCCAGCCACCGCGCCCGUUGCUGGUCUGCUCGCCGGUCGCCACAACUACCGCUGCACGGAGCAGGACGAAGCCCCGCCGGUCGCCACAUUUUCUUCAGCAAGCCGCAGGAAGCCCCGCCGGUCGCCACAUCUCCUCCACCAAGCCGGUCUCCUCCACCAAGCUGGUCUCCUCCACCAAGGUGAUAUAGAUGAUUUUGCUGCUGUACAUAGAACAAUGGUAGAUGAUUUUGCUGCUGUACUAGUUUAUUGCUGGUAUAGAUGAAUAUAAGUGUGAUAUAGAUGAUUUAGCUGAUGUACAUAGAACAAUAGUAGGUGAUUUUGCUGUUGUACAUGAAGGUAGUUUCUUGCUGGUGUACAUGAAUAGUUAUAGUUGCUGCUGUUGAUAUAGAUUUCUUGAUGUUGAUAUAGAUUUUUAUUGUUGUUGAUAUAGAUUUGACAUGGAUCCGCAUGAACUAGAAGGCCUAGAGGGUGAUGAACCAGAUUAUCAUCCUGAAGAAUUAGAAGGUCAUGAGGGUGAGAUGGAGCUGUUUAUUGUACCUCCAAAUCCUCCUCGCGUACGGCAGAAAACUGCAAGUUCAAAGGGGAAGAAGCCAACAUCUAGUGGACGUUCAAAAAAUGGACAAUCUGCAGGACAACAACAACCUACAGCUGAAGCACAAUAGCAACCUACAACCAAAGCACAGCCGCAGCGCACUGCCUCCUCUAGCAAUUGCGGACGGAAGUCAAAAGUAUGGUUGGACUUCACCAAGAUAUCCAAAGAUGGUGAUGCCAUUACUAUAGCUAAGUGCAACCAUUGCACCGCUGAGUUGUCAGCUAAGUCUGGACAUGGUACGUCUCAUCUCCUUAGGCACACUGAAGCGCAGCAUAAGACUGAUCAAUCAACAAUGAAUAAUUUUUUUCUUGAAAUCUGAAACAAAUGAUGAUGGAACAAAUGCAUUGAAAAAUGUUAGAUAUGAUGCUCAAGUAGCCAGACAUGCAAUCUCUAUAUAUCUUGUGUCCGGUUCUCAUCCAUUUACAACAGUUGAAGAAGAUGGUUUUAGAACAAUGAUGGCUGCUUUUGUCCAGCAUUCAAGAGUAUUGGUCGACACACAAUAAAAAGAGAGAUAAUGGCAAUGUUUCUUGCCCAGAAAAAAGAAUUGCUUGAAAUUAUUGUUGCUGCCCCUGGUAGAGUAAGUUUCACAUCUGAUAAUUGGAAAUCUGAAGUCACCAAGCAUAGCUAUAUUUGUAUUACAUGUCAUUACAUAGAUGCUGAUUGGAAACUAAACAAAAGAAUUGCAUUUUGUAGAGUUCUUGCUAGGGCAAUGAGAUGAGUAGAAGAAGCAGAGAAGGCAUGUCGAGAUGUAACCAUCCAGGAUCCAACAUUUUUUAGAGUUCUAUGAAUUGCCCAUCUGGCCUGUAACAAUACAUUUAUGCACUUAUGUUUCUACAAACUCAAAACUGGAAUGUUUUGAUACUAUUUGAUGCGAAGACAAUGCACUUUACGUUUUGGUGCUGCUGUCCUGCUAUCUUAUUAUGUUUAUUUUUCUGGACAUGUACUUUCAUUACAAUGUCAAGGGCCUUUGGGGGGGCUUAGGGCUUUCGGGCUUUCUACAUUGGGAGGGCCUGGGCCUGAGAAAUGUAGAAUUUUCAUGGGCCUGGGAGGGCCUAGGCCUUAUCUCCAUGCCUUGGGCUUGUUGGGGCCUGGGCCGAGGCCUGGCCCGGCUCGGCCCAUGGCCAGAUAGACCCGCGUCGAAUGGCCAGAGGGCACCUUUAUUGAUACCAUCAAGGCCUGGAAAAAAAGAGUGGUUUGAUAACCCACAAGUAUAGGGGAUCGCAACAGUUUUCGAGGGUAGAGUAUUCAACCCAAAUUUGUUGAUUCGACACAAGGGGAAGGAAAAGAAUAUUCUCGAGUAUUAGCAGUUGAGUUGUCAAUUCAACUACACCUGAAAGACUUAGUAUCUGCAGCAAAGUUUCAGUAGCAAAGUAGCGUGAUAGCAAUGGUAGAAACGGUAAUAGUAGCAGCAGUGACAACAGUAGCGGUAAUAGUAGCAGCAGUGACAACAGUAGCGGCAAAGUAACGUAGCAAGGACCAGUAGAAAAAGACUCGUAGGCAUUGGAUCAGUGAUGGAUAAUUAUGUCGGAUGACAUUCAUCAUGUAUCAGUUAUAACAUAGGGUGAUAUAUAACUAGCUCCAGUUCGUCAAUGUAAUGUAGGCAUGUAUUCCGUAUAUAGUCAUACGUGCUUAUGGAAAAGAACUUGCAUGACAUCUAUUGUCCAUCCCUCCCGUGGCAGCGGGGUCCUAAUGGAAACUAAGGGAUAUUAAGGCCUCCUUUUAAUAGAGAACCAGAACAAAGCAUUAGCACUUAGUGAAUACAUGAACUCCUCAUACUAUGGUCAUCUCCGUGAGUGGUUCCGGCUAUUGUCACUCCGGGGUUGCCGGGUCAUAACACAUAGUAGGUGACUACAACUUGCAAGAUAGGAUCAAGAACACACAUAUAUUGAUGAAAACAUAAUAGGUUCGGAUCUGAAAUCAUGCUCGGGCCCUAGUGAGAAGCAUUAAGCAUAGCAAAGUAGUAGUAACAUCAAUCUCAGAACAUAGUGGAUACGAGGGAUCAAACCCCAUCAAAACUAUCUCGAUUACAUGAUAGAUCUCAUCCAACCCAUCACCGUCCAGCAAGCCUACGAGGAGAUUAUUCAUGAACGGUGAAGAGCAUCAUGGAAUUGGCGAUGAAGGAUGGUUGAUGAUGAUGACGACGUCGAUCUCCCCUCUCCGGAGCCCAGAACGGACUCCAGAUCUGCCGUCCAGAGGAAGAACAGGUGGUGGCGGCGGCUCCGUGUCGUAAAACGCGAUGAACUCUUCUCUCUUAAUUUUUUCUGGGCGAGAGAGAUUAUAUAGAGCUGGAGUUGGAGGCGGCGGAGCCACGAGGGCCUCGCAAGCCUGCCAGGCAUGGCCAGGGGGGUGCCUCCUGGGCUUGUGGGCUCCUGGCUCCGUCCCUCCAGGUAAUUCUUGUGCCAGUUUUUUUUUAUAUAUUCCACAAAAAAUCCUCGUAAAUUUCCAGGUCAUUCCAAGAACUUUUAUUUCUGCGGAAAAACAACACCAUGACAAUUCUGCUGAAAACAACGUCACUCCGGGUUAGUUCCAUUCAAAUCAUGCAAAUUAGAGUCCAAAACAAGGGCAAAAGAGUUUGGAAAAGUAGAUACGAUGGAGAUGUAUCAACUCCCCCAAGCUUAAAGCCUUGCUUGUCCUCAAGCAAUUCAGUUGACAAACUGAAAGAGACAAAAGAAAAACUUUUACGAACUCUGUUUGAUCUUGUUGUUGUAAUUAUGUCUAACUCAUAUUCAGAUUUUUAGAAAGAUCAUAAGCUAACCACAUAAGCAAUGACAUUUAUGUCUCAUGGUAAACUCAUAUCAAUGGAAAAAUCAACCAGUCAGCAAUAAUAAUAAGUUUCAAAUGUCAACACUUAAAUCAAAACAAUCAUGAAGCAAUAUGAACAGAUGGUAUCUCGCUAGCUCUUUCUGAGACCGCAAAACAUAAAUGCAGAGCACCUUCAAAGACCAAGGGCCGACUGAACAUUGUAAUUCAUGGCAAAGAAGAUCCAGUCACAGUCAUACUCAAUAACAAUUAAUAGCAACGCAUAAAAAUGACAGAGGUGCUCUCUAAUUGGUGCUUUUAUAAGGCGAGGAUGACUCAACAGAAACAUAAAUAGAUAGGCCCUUCGCAGUGGGAAGCAUUGAUUUGCAGAGGUGCCAGAGCUCAAGCUUUGAAGACAGAGAUAAAUAAUUUUGGGUGGCAUGCUUUCAUUGUCAACGCAAUGACCAAGAGUUUUCACCAUCUUCCAUGCUACACAUAUUAUAGGCGGUUCCCAAACAGAAAGGUAAAGUUUUGAAUCCCCCACCACCGAUCUAUCACACUCCACGACUAGCCGAAUCCUCGGGUGCCGUCCAGGGGGAUUUUUGUUUGCAAUUAUCUUUUCGAUUUGAGCAUGGAACUCGGCAUUCCAAUUACCGCCCCCUUUCUCGUGAGUGAUAGUGAAUAAACACGUAUCGAGGAUAAAACGCCUAGCAUGGAAGAUACCGACCGCCCCUUGUCAGCACAUGAGCGGUUCGGGCAUACAAAAUAGAUCAUUUCUUGAAGAUUUAGAGAGUGGCACACGAAAAUUUACUUGGAACGGCAGGUAGAUACCGCAUAUAGGUAGGUAUGGUAGACUCAUAUGGAACAACUUUGGGUUUAUGGAAGUGGAUGCACAAGCAGUAUUCCCGCCUAGUACAAGUGUAGGUUAGCAAAAGAUUGGGAAGCGACCAACUAGAGAGCGACAACAGUCAUCAAUAUGCAUUGAAAUUAACCAACAUUGAGUGCAAGCAUGAGUAGGACAUAAAUCGCCAUAAACAUGAAUAUCAUAGAGGCUAUGUUGAUUUUGUUUCAACUACAUGCGUAAACAUGCGCCAAGUCAAGCCUCUUGAAUCAUUCAAAGGGAGAUACCAUCCUAUCAUACUACAUCAUAAUCAUUUUGAAAUUCAUGUUGGCAUCCAAGACAAACCAUUAUAAGCUCCUAGCAAAUUAAGCAUGUCAUCAAAAACCUGAUCUCUAAGUUGUCAUUGCAAACAUGUUUCUCUCAUAACAAUGUUGAAUUAGGAAGGAUGAGCUAGUCAUAUUUACAAAAAUAAAAUAGGUCGAGUUCAUACCAGCUUUUCCACGCUCAGUCACUUCAUCAUAUAUCGUCAUUAUUGCCUUUCACUUGCAUGACCGAAUGAUGUGAAUAAUAAUGAGAGUGUUCAUGCAUUGCACUAAGCUGGAAUCUGCAAGCAAACACAGAGGAGAAGACAAAGUAAUAUGGCUCUUUGACAGAUAAACGAUAAUGCAUACGAGAGCUACUAAACAUUGUAACCAUGGUCUUCUACCUUGACCCAAAGAAAAAGAAAACUAUUUACACGGGAAACCUCCCAACAACCAAAAGAAAAACGGGAAAUCUUUUUGGGUUUUCUUUUUAAACAUCACUAAGCAAGCUGGAAAGUAAACUUACAACCAAUUUUUUUUUCUCAAUCUAAACAAACACACGAGAAGAAAGCGAGAAAAAGAAAUAAACUAGCAUGGAUGAUAGAGUGGCAAGGUGUGAACACCGACUAACAAAGUGAAAGCAUGAGCAAGAAUAUAAAGUCGGUGAGAAACACGUACUCCCCCAAGCUUAGGCUUUUGGCCUAAGUUGGUCUACUCCCAUGGAGGGAAAUAACCGUCUCCGGGGUACUCUAGAGUGUACUGAGGGUGCCACUGCUAGGUGAGCUCCUCUGGCUCCCACUGAUAAACUGGCGUCUGGUACUCGACUGGUAGCUCGGGCACGGGCGCCUGUGCUGGCGCUAUUCCCAAUAUGCGUAGAUGUUCGAGGGCAUAAUAAUGUACCUGCCUAGAUGAAGAUUGAAUAAAGAAGGAGAAGGCAAAGUAAUAGUCUCACGAGUACCCUGGCUAAAUACCAGGUUAUAAAUCAUCCUCUUAUUUAUAUCUUUAUCGAGAAAGUCAUGGCGAACCAUGCUAUCAUAAUCUAGAUAUCUCUCAGGAAGAAGCAUCUCUUCUUCCUCGUGCAGUCUAAUAGGUAUUCAAAAUGUCUAGCAAGACGGGUAGCAUAGAUACCUCCAUAAACAAUGCCUUUAGUACGGUUCGUGUUUAACCGUUGAGCCACUAUAGCACCCAAGCUAUAAGUUUUAUCAUUAUAAAGGGCUUCGCGCAAAACUGCAAGAUCUGGGGAGCUAAGAGCCCCAGCUUUCCCAUGGCCAAUCAAACAUUUUCCCACGGAUAAUGAGAAAUACCGAAGCACGGGAAAAUGUAUGCUAGCAACUCUAGCGCAAGAUACUCCUCUCUCCUCUCCUACAACAAUAGUAUCAAUGAAAGCCUCCAAGUCCCGUGGACGAGGUUCAUGAAUAUCCCCAACAUAAGGUAAUUUGCAAACAAUGCAAAAAUCCUGAAGUGUCAUGCGCUGGGGGAUAUCAUAUAACUUGAACUCAACCAUAGGAGGACUCUUCCUUGGAUAGAAAUUAAAACUUUGCAUGAAAAUAUAAUUGAGGAGGAGGUAUUGUGGACACUUAUCUUCAACAAAUGCGGGAAGGCCCGCGUUCUCCACCAAGUAAUAAAAAUCCUCAUAAAGACCGACGGCACGUAAGAACACAUCGCUUGGCCACUCGCACGCUCGAACUUCUGCAACUCGGGGGACCGGAUACUUGGGUUUCUUCUUGUCAUUUUCAUCAUCCUUGGGGUCAUAGCUUGUAGAGCCUCUUAGGAACCUCCUCAUCUUUUCCUUUUUCUUUCUCUGAAAAUUUCUGAAUAUUUUAGUGACUCAAAGGAAAAGUGAACAAGGCUCAAUGAAACUCAUAGCAACUACUCCUACAAGUGCCUAGAUGCCAUAUCAUGCACCAAAACUACUUGGGACCAACUAAAAUUAACAUGCAAAGCUCAAGAACAGGGUCAGCAAGGCAGCAAUAAUACGCAACGAAUAAAGCACUAGAGCAAAAACUAAUUGGACCAAUGGAGGAGUCACAUACCAAGGAACAAUUUCCCCAAAACAGUUUGGUGAAUGGGGCUUUGCACAAGGAGAUCGAAAAACGCAGCAAGAAGAGCAAGAACACGGGUUUGAGCUGUGGAAUGAUUUUUUUUGGAGGUAUAAGAAGGAUAUAGGAGUGUGAAACAGGCUGAUAAAUGUCCCUUAGGUAUUCUUCUGGAGUUAUGGUAUUGAUGAUAUUCCUUUCAACAUUUAUGGGAGUACCUGAGAUAUAAUGCUUGAUUCUCUGCCCAUUUACCACUCUCGGAAAAUUACCUUCCGUGUUGUUGAUCUUUAUAGCACCGAAACGAUAUACUUCCUCAACAACAUAAGGACCUUCCCAUUUAGAGAGAAGCUUGCUUGCAAAGAAUCUUAAACGAGAGUUAUAUAGCAAGACAUAAUCACCUACAUUGAACUCACGCUUUUGUAUCCUUUUAUCAUGCCACCUCUUAACCUUCUCUUUGAAGAGCUUGGCAUUCUCAUAUGCUUGAGUUCUCCACUCAUCAAGCGAGCUAAUGUCAAAUAACCUCUUGUCACCGGCAAGUUUGAAAUCAAAGUUGAGCUCUUUGAUUGCCCAGUAAGCUUUAUGCUCUAGCUCAAGAGGUAAGUGACAUGCUUUACCGUACACCAUUUUGUACGGAGACAUGCCCAUGGGAUUCUUAUAGGCAGUUCUAUAAGCCCACAGUGCAUCAUCGAGCUUCUUAGACCAAUUCUUUCUAGACCCGUUGACAGUCUUUUGCAGAAUUAGUUUAAUCUCUCUGUUGCUUAGCUCUACUUGACCACUGGACUGAGGGUGAUAGGGAGACGCAAUUCUAUGGUUGACAUCGUACUUAGCAAACGUUUUACGGAAAGCACCAUGAAUGAAGUGUGAACCACCGUUGGUCAUUAGAUAUCUAGGGACUCCAAAUCUAGGGAAGAUAACUUCUUUCAGCAUCUUGAUAGAGGUGUUAUGAUCAGCACUACUAGUGGGGAUAGCUUCUACCCACUUAGUGACGUAAUCAACAACAACUAGGAUAUGAGUAUACCCGUUGGAUUUUGGAAAAGGUCCCAUAUAAUCAAAGCCCCAUACAUCAAAUGGUUCAAUGACAAGUGAAUAGUUCAUAGGCAUUUCCUGACGUUUGCUAAUAUUACCUAUUCUUUGACAUUCAUCACAAGACAAGACAAACUUACAGGCAUCCUUGAAGAGAGUGGCCCAAUAGAAACCGGAUUGCAAUACCUUGUGUGCAGUUCUAUCUCCCGCAUGGUGUCCUCCGUAGGCCUCGGACUGACACUUCUGUAGGAUCUGUCCCUGUUCAUGUUCAGGUACACAACGUCUAAUAACACCAUCUACUCCUUCGUUAUAAAGGUGAGGAUCAUCCCAAAAGUAGUGUCUCAAGUCAAAGAAGAAUUUCUUCUUUUGCUGGUACGCGAAACUAGGUGGUAUGUAUUUGGCAACGAUAUAGUUUGCAUAAUCAGCAUACCAUGGUGCACUGCAUGAAGCAUUGAUGACAUUCAAUUGCUCACCGGGAAAGCUAUCAUCAAUAGGUUGUGGGUCAUCAAGAACGUUCUCCAACCUAGACAAGUUAUCCGCUACUGGGUAUCAGCACCCUUUCUUGUCAACAACAUGCAGAUCAAAUUCUUGUAGCAAGAGAACCCAUCUGAUAAGUCUAGGUUUAGCGUCCUUCUUCUCCAUGAGGUACUUAAUAGCAGCGUGAUCAGUGUGAAUAAUGACUUUGCAAUCAACAAUGUAAGACCUGAACUUUUCACAUGCAAACACGGCUGCUAAAAAUUCCUUCUCUGUAGUAGCAUAGUUUCUCUGGGCACUGUCUAGAGUUUUACUAGCGUAGUGAAUAACAUUCAACUUCUUAUCGACUCUUUGCCCUAAAACAGCACCAACAGCAUAAUCACUAGCGUCACACAUGAUCUCAAAAGGCAAGUUCCAAUCAGGUGGUUGAACAAUAGGUGCAGUUAUCAAAGCCCUCUUAAGUAUUUCAAAGGCUUCCUCACAAUCAUCGUCAAAAACAAAAGGAAUAUCCUUUUGCAAGAGAUUGGUAAGAGGCCUAGAAAUCUUAGAGAAGUCUUUAAUGAACCUUCUAUAGAAACCAUCAUGACCAAUGAAACUUCUUAUUCCUUUGAUAUCUGUGGGGUAUGGCAUUUUCACGAUUGCAUCAACCUUAGCCUUAUCGACUUCAAUACAUCUUUCGGAAAUUUUAUGUCCUAAGACGAUGCCUUCAUUAACCAUAAAGUGGCACUUCUCCCAAUUCAAGACAAGAUUGGUGUAUUUACAUCUCUACAAGACCCGAUCAAGGUUGCUGAGGCAAUCAUCAAAGGAAGACCCGUAAACGAAGAAGUCAUCCAUGAAAAUCUCAACAAUCUUUUCACAAAAGUCAGAGAAUAUAGCCAUCAUAUAUCUUUGAAAGAUGGCAGGUGCAUUACAUAAGCCAAAAGGCAUACGUCUAUAAGCUAAGGUACCGAAAGGGCAGGUGAAAGUGGUUUUCUCCUGAUCAGAUUGUGCAACUGGUAUUUGGGAGAAACCAGAAUAACCGUCUAGAAAGCAGAAGUGUGUGUGUUUGGAUAGUCCUUCUAGCAUUUCGUUGAUAAAAGGAAAAGGGUAAUGAUCUUUCCUAGUGGCCUUAUUCAACUUCCUAAAAUCAAUCACCAUCCUAUAGCCAGUAAUAAUCCUCUGUGAGAUCAACUCAUCCUUAUCAUUAGGGACAACGGUGAUGCCUCCCUUCUUAGGAACGCAAUGCACCGGACUCACCCAAUCGCUAUGAGAAACAAGAUAGAUAAUACCCGCUUCCAGGAGCUUUAGUAUUUCUUUUCUCACUACUUCUUUCAUCGUAGGAUUCAAUCUCCUUUGAUGAUCAGCAAUUGGUUUGAAUUUAGGAUCAGUUUUGAUCUUGUGCUGGCAUAGAGUGGGACUAAUGCCCUUAAGAUCAUCAAGAGUAUAUCCAAUAGCAGCAUGGUGCUUCCUCAGAGUUUUUAGUAACUUCUUCUCUUCAUGCUCUGAGAGGCUAGCACUAAUAAUAACAUGAUAUAUCUCCUUUUCAUCAAGGUAGGCAUACUUAAGAGUAUCAGGCAACUGUUUAAGCUCGAACACAGGAUCACCCUUUGGUGGAGGUGGAUCCCCAAGCAGUUCAACAGGCAGAUUAUUCUUAAGGAUAGGAUAUUGUUCUAAGACAACUCUAUCUAUUUCAUCCCUUUCAUCCAUAUGCAUAUCAUUUUCAUGCUCAAGCAAGUAUUGCUCUAAGGGAUCAGUAGGAGGCACGACAAUAGAGGCUAAGGCAAUAGUUUCAUCCCUACUAGGCAACUCCUUUUCAUGAGGUUGUCUACCAAACUUAGAUAAAUUGAACUCGUGUGACACACCUUCAAAGCCAACAGUGACAUUUUGCUUCUCACAAUCAAUAUGAGCAUUGACGGUAUUGAGAAAAGGUCUGCCAAAUAUGAUGGACAAAAGCUAUCUUGUGCGGUAGCAAGAACGAGGAAAUCAGCAGGAUACUUCGUUUUACCACACAAGACUUCAACAUCCCUAACAAUUCCCACAGGGCAGAUAGUAUCUCUAUUGGCAAGCUGAAUAGUGACAUCAAUGGGUUCUAUCUCAACAGGUGCAAUCUCAUCUUUGAUUUCAUCGUAUAAGGAUUGAGGUAUUGCACUAACACUAGCACCCACGUCACAAGCCAUGAUAACAAUGAUCUCCUAUCUUAACAGAAACUACAGGCAUGCCAACAAUAGGCCUAUGUUUGUCUCUAACGUGAGGUUUAGCAAUUCUAGCAGCAUCUUCACAGAAGUGAAUAUUAUGUCCCUCAACAUCUUCAGAUAGAAGAUCUUUGAUAAUAGCAAUGCUAGGUUCAACUCUAAUUUGCUCAGGGGGUGUAGGUGUUCUAAUAUAGCCUCUACGUAUCACAGUUGAAGCUUUAGAAUGAUCCUUUAUCCUAAUAGGGAAAGGUGGUUUCUCAAUGUAAGCACUGGGUACCACAGGAUCAUUAUAGGCAAUGACUUUCUCUUCAACUGGAGUGGGUUUAACUACAUUGACUUCUAAAGGAGGAUGAAAUUUAAACCACUUCUCUUUGGGGAGAUCAAUAUGAGCAGCAAAGGAUUCACACAAUGUAGCUACUAUCUCAGAGUCAAGUCCAUACUUAGCGCUAAAGUCACAAAAAGUAUUUGUCUCAACAAAGGAUUUAACACAAUCAAAAGUGAAAUUCAUACCUGACUCCUUACCUUCUUCAAGCUCCCAAUCUUCAGAGUUGCGUUUAAUUCUCUCCAAUAAAUUCCACUUGAAGUCAAUAUGUCUCUUCAUAAAAGAACCGGUACAAGAAGUGUCAAGCAUGGUGCGAUCAUCAUGAGAAAGCCGAGCAUAUAAGUUCUGAAUGAUAAUUUCUCUUGAGAGCUCAUGAUUAGGGCAUGAAUAUAGCAUUGAUUUAAGCCUCCCCCAAGCUUGAGCGAUGCUUUCUCUGUCACGAGGCCAAAAAUUGUAAAUAUAAUUUCGAUCACGAUGUACUAAAUGCAUAGGAUAAAACUUUUGAUGAAAUUCCAAUUUCAACCGAUUGUAGUCCCAUGAUCCAGUAUCAUCACAUAGCCUAUACCAUGUCAACGCCUUAUCCUUCAAAGAUAAAGGAAAUACCUUCUUCUUGACCUCAUCCUCGGGCACACCUGCAAGCUUAAAUAAACCACAAACCUCAUCUACAUAGAUCAGAUGCAAGUCUGGAUGUGAUGUUCCAUCUCCUGUAAGAGGAUUAGCCAGCAGUUUCUCAAGCAUACCCGAAGGAAAUUCAAAGCAAAUAUUUUCAGUAGGUGCAGCAACUUGAGGAGUAACUCUUUGUGCUUCCGUUCGGGGUGAAGAUACCCCAAACAAGCCCCUCAAAGGAUUACUAUCCAUAGUGACAAGUGACAGCAAAUUUCAGCACACUAUAUGAAUAUUUCCUUACCAAGUUCCACUUACCAAAGGCGCUUCACUCCCUGGCAACGGUGCCAGAAAAGAGUCUUGAUGACCCACAAGUAUAGGGGAUCAAUCGUAGUCCUUUCGAUAAGUAAGAGUGUCAAACCCAACGAGGAGCAGAAGGAUCUGACAAGUGGUUUUUAGCAAGGUAAAAUCUGCACGCACUGAAAUUGUCGGUAACAAGUGAUUGUGUGGUGAGAUGAUUCGUAGCAAGCAACAAGUAACAAAAGUAGCAACGGUGCAGCAAAGUGGCCCAAUCCCUUUUGUAUCAAGGGACAAACCUGGACAAAGUCUAGUAGGAGGAAAAACGCUCCCGAGGACACACGGGAAUUUCUGUCAUGCUAGUUUUCAUCACGUUCAUAUGAUUCGCGUUCGUUACUUUGAUAGUUUGAUAUGUGGGUGGACCGGCGCUUGGGUACUGCCCUUACUUGGACAAGCAUCCCACUUAUUAUUAACCCCUCUCGCAAGCAUCCGCAACUACGAAAGAAGAAUUAAGUCAAAGUCUAACCAUAGCAUUAAACUAGUGGAUCCAAAUCAGCCCCUUACGAAGUAACGCAUAAACUAGGGUUUAAGCUUCUGUCACUCUAGCAACCCAUCAUCUACUUACUACUUCCCAAUGCCUUCCUCUAGGCCCAAAUAAUGGUGAAGUGUUAUGUAGUCGAUGUUCACAUAACACCACUAGAGGAAAAAACAACAUACAACAUAUCAAAAUACCGAACGAAUACCAAAUUCACAUGACUAUUAUUAGCAUGACUUAUCCCAUGUCCUCAGGAACAAAAGUAACUACUCACAAAGCAUAAUCAUAAUCAUGAUAAAAGGUGUAAUGAGUAGCAUCAAGGAUCUGAACAUAAACUCUUCCACCAAGUAAUCCAACUAGCAUCAACUACGAAGAGUAAUCAACACUACUAGCAACCUUACAAGUACCAAUCGGAGUCGCGAGACGGAUAUUGGUUACAAGUGAUGAACUAGGGUUUGGAGAUGAGAUGGUGCUGAUGAAGAUGUUGAUGGUGACGAGUCCCCUCCGAUGAGAGGAGUGUUGGUGAUGACGAUGGCGACGAUUUCCCCCUCCGGGAGGGAAGUUUCCCCGGCAGGAUCGUCCUGCCGGAGCUCUAGAUUGGUUCUUCUCAAGUUGUGCCUCGUGGCGGCGGCGAAACCACGAAAAAGCUCCCUUCUGAUUUUUUCCUGGACGAAACCCUCCAUAUAGCAAAAGAGGGGGGCCAGUGGGUCAGUGGGCUGCCCACAAGCCCCCAUGGCGCGGCUUAGGGGGUGGCCGCGCCGCGCAGGCAUGUGGGCACCCCCUGGUGCCCCUCCGGUACUUCUUCGACCCAGUAUUUUUUAUAUAUUGGGAAAAAAUCCCCGUUGAUUUUCACGGCGUUUGGAGUUGCAUAGAAUAGGUAUCUCAACUUUGCUCCACUUUCAGGCCAGAAUUCCAGUUGCCGGUAUUCUCCCUCUUCAUGUAAACCUUGCAAAAUAAGAGAGAAAAAGCAUAAGAAUAGUACCGUGAAGUGAAAUAACAACCAAAGAAGCGAUAAAUAUCAACGUGAAAACAUGAUGCAAAAUGGACGUAUCAUGCAUCCCCCUGACUACCUCUCAAUCACAGAAUUUUCAAACAUUUCAGAAAAAAUCAUACUUGAUUUUCAGGGCAUUUGAAGAACUUUUAUUUUCGAGACACUUUCUAAGGGUCGCAAAAAGCAGAAAACAGGAAAAACUAAAGCUAAAUUUAUCAUUUGUCUUCUAAACAACAAAAAAUAAAAGUUCGGAACAGAAGGUUGUGACUCUUAGAUUCAUCCAUCUCAUGGUCAUCAAAAGAAAUCCGUCAAUGAGGUUGAUCAAGUCUCCUUGACAAACUUUUUCCGAAUCACAUGAAAUCGGAGAAUUUUCGAAUAGUCACUAAGUUACCUCAAUGGGGAUGUGCAUAUCCCCAACAAGCAAAUCAUACCUCAUCUUGACAGUAGGUCUAGGGCAUUCAAAGCUCCCAAUAAGGAUUGAUGAAGUUUUUUCAAUAGCAUUGAUGCAAUGUACCCGAUAUUGUUUCUUCGGAAAGUGCACCGUAUGCUCAUUACCAUUGACAUGGAAAGUGACAUUGCCUUUGUUGCAAUCAAUAACAGCCCCUGUAGUGUUUAAAAAGGGUCUUCCAAGGAUGACCGCCAUGGCAUCAUCCUCGGGAAUAUCCAGAAUAAAAAAGUCCGUUAAGAUAGUAACGUUAGCAACUACAACAUGCACAUCCUCGCAAAUGCCGAUAGGGAAAGUAGUUGAUUUGUCGGCCAUUUGCAAAGACAUUUCAGUGGGUGUCAACUUAUCCAAUUCAAGUCUACGGUAUAAAGAGAGAGGCAUAACACUAACACCGGCUCCAAGAUCGCAUAAAGCAGUUCUAACGUAGUUUCCUUUAAUGGAGCAAGGUAUAGUGGGCACUCCGGGAUCACCUAGUUUCUUAGGAGUUCCACCCUUGAAGGUGUAAUUAGCAAGCAUGGUGGAAAUCUCAACCUCAGGUAUCCUCCUUUUAUUAGUCACAAUAUCUUUCAUGUACUUAGCAUAAGGAGACAUUUUGAGCAUAUCUGUCAAACGCAUUUGCAGAAAGACAGGUCUAAUCAUUUCAACAAAUCGCCCAAAAUCCUCAUCAUCCUUUUUCUUGGAUGGUUUGGGAGGAAAGGGCAUGGGUUUCUGAACUCAUGGUUCUCUUUCUUUACCAUGCUUCCUAGCAAUGAAUUCAUUCUUAUCAUAUCUCCUAUUCUUAGGUUUUGGGUUAUCAAGAUCAACAUGUUCAAUCUCCACAUCCUUAUCAUUACUAGGUUGAUCAUCAUGAACACCACUAUCGAUAUUAUCACUAGGCUCAUGUUCAUCAGCAGAUUGUGUUUCGGCAUCAGAAACAGAGAUAUCAUUUGGAUUCUCAGGUGUAACGACAACAGGUUUGCUAGCAUGCAAGUUCCUAUCAUCUUUCUUUUUCUUCCUAAUACCAGGAUGACUAGGUGCAUUAGUGCUAACUCCUUGAGAAUCUUGUUCAAUUCUCUUAGGAUGACCCUCAGGAUACAAAGUUUCCUGGGUCAUUGAUACGUCUCCAACGUAUCUAUAAUUUUUUAUGGUUCCAUGCUAUUAUCUUGUCAAACUUUGGAUGUUUUGUAUGCCUUUUAUAUCUUUUUUGGGACUAACUUAUUAACUUAGUGCCAAGUGCCAGUUCCUGUUUUUUCCAUGUUUUUGACCCUUUUCAGAGGAGAAUAUUAAAGGAGUCCAAAUGGAAUAAAACUUCCGAAAAGAUAUUUUUUGGAACAGAAGAUACGCAGGGGGCGUGAGAACCAAGGCAGAGGCCACCAGGGGAGGCCACAAGCCCCCUAGGCGCGGCCAGGGGGACCGUGCCUAGCAGGCUUGUGGGCCCCCUAUGGCUCGUCUGCCCUACCUCUUCCGUCUAUAAAUUCCCGAAAAAUCCAAAACUAUGCGAGAGAUCCACGAAAAUACUUUUCCGCCACCGCAAGCUUCUGUCUCCGCAAGAUCCCAUCUGGGGCACGUUCUAGUGCCCUGCCGAAGGGGGGAUUCGGAUACAGAGGGAUUCUUCAUCAACACCAUUGCCUCUCCGAUGAUGCGUGAGUAGUUCACCAUAGACCUUCGUGUCCAUAGCUAGUAGCUAGAUGGCUUCUUCUCUCUCUUGGAUCUUCAAUACAAAGUCCUCCAUGAUCUUCAUGGAGAUCUAUCCGAUGUAAUCUUCUUUUGCGGUGUGUUUGUCGAGAUCCGAUGAAUUGUGGAUUUAUGAUCAGAUUAUCUAUGAAUCUUAUUUAAGUUUCUUCUCAUCUCUUAUAUGCAUGAUUUCAUAUCCUUGUAAUUCUCUUCGAGUUGUGGGUUUUGUUUGGCCAACUUGAUCUAUGACUCUUGCAAUGGGAGAAGUGCUUGGUUUUGGGUUCAUACCGUGCGGUGACCUCAUCCAGUGACAGAAGGGGUAGCGAGGCACACAUCGUGUUGUUGCCAUCAAGGGUAAAAAGAUGGGGUUUAUAUCUAUUGCAUUAAUUUAUCCCUCUACAUCAUGUCAUCUUGCUUAAGGCGUUACUCUGUUCGUCAUGAACUCAAUACACUAGAUGCAUGCUGGAUAGCGGUCGAUGUGUGGAGUAAUAGUAGUAGAUGCAGAAAGUAUCGGUCUACUUGUCUCGGACGUGAUGCCUAUAUGUAUGAUCAUUUCCUUAGAUAUCGUCAUGACUUUGCGCGGUUCUAUCAAUUGCUCGACAGUAAUUUGUUCACCCACCGUAAUAUUUGCUAUUUUGAGAGAAGCCUCUAGUGAACACUAUGGCCCCCGGGUCUACUUCACAUCAAAUUUUCAGCCUUACACUUUUACUUCGUUGCAGAUCUCACUUUGCAAUCAAUCAUGAAGGGAUUGACAACCCCUUUAUAGCGUUGGGUGCAAGCUCGUUUGUGUUUGCGCACGUACUCUGGACACUUGGCUUGAUUCUCCUACUGGAUUGAUACCUUGGUUCUCAAACUGAGGGAAAUACUUACUCCUACUGUGCCGCAUCACCCUUUCCUUUUCAAGGGAAAAACCAACGCAAGCUCAAGAGGUAGCAAGAAGAAUUUCUGGCGCCGUUGCCGGGGAAGAUCAAGUCAAGAAUAGUCUCCCGUCAACGUGCCAACUUCUGGCGCCGUUGCCGGGGAGGAUCAAGUCAAGAAUAGUCUCCCGUCAACGUGCCAAUUUCUGGCGCCGUUGCCGGGGAGUAUCAAGUCAAGAAUAGUCUCCCGUCAACGUGUCAAUUUCUGGCACCGGGGAUUAUUCUAAGUGAAGCUUAUCCAAGUAAGUGUCGCAAACUCAUCUCUUGCAUUUACUUUUUUGCCUCUCGUUUUCCUCUCCCCAACUUCUGAAAAACAGAAAUUUACAAAAAUAUUUGCCUUUUUCGUUUGCCUUUCCUUUGCUUGUGUGCUAUGUGCCUUCAAUAUGCUUGCAUCUUCGCUUGCUAAAAAUCUAGUGAUAUGGAUCCUCACCCACUUGCUAAUCUCUUUAAGAGAUCCAAUUAUGUUGAUCCAAUUGCUAGUGCGUUGAGUGGACUUGACUAUCUUUAUGGAGUUUUGCUUGAGAUGCGUGAAUCUGAAAAUCGUGAUGAAGAAAUUUAUGAAGAUAUUCACGAGGGCUCCUUGAAUGAAAAGCAUGAUUGCAAUGGUUUCAUUAUGAAUUCUAUUAAUGGCAAUCAUGCUAAAAAUAUGCAAAACCCUAAGCUUGGGGAUGCUAGUUUUGGUAUGUCCACUACUUGUUGCAAUGAUCAUGAUUGGGGUAAUGAUUUUUCUUAUGAUCUUGAAAAUGUGUUUAAGCCUCAUGAUGAUUAUGAUAUUUGCGAUAAUAUUGAAAGUGGGUUUGGAGAAGUCGUGACUUUAGUUGAUGAUAAUCCCACUAUUUUUUAAGAGCGUCAACUUUGCAUGCAUGUGGAUCAUGAAAAGAAUAUCCUAUGUGAUAGCUUUAUUGUUGAAUUUGAAUAUGAUCCCACAUGUAAUUAUUAUGAGAGAGGAAAUUAUUGUGGUAGGAACUUUCAUAUCACUAAAUCACCUCUCGUUAUGUUGAGAUUGCUAUUGUCUCCUUCUUCUGCCUUGCAUAUGGUAACUAUUGGUUGUCUUGACAAUCUGUUUUCCUAUAAAAUGCCUAUGCAUAGGAAGUACGUUAGACUUAGAUGUGAUUUUCACAUGCUUUAUGAUGCCCUCUUCGUGUCCGAUUGCUAUCCUUUUUGUGAGCAUCAUUGAAUUAUCAAUGUCUAGCUAAAAGGCGUUAAACAAUAGCGCUUCUGGGAGGCAACCCAAUGAAUUUAUCUUUUCUUUUUUGCUUUCUGGUUUGUUGCGUCCACACCAUCAUAAUUAUGUUAUGAUUGUGUAUUUUGUGUUUCUUUUUGUGUUUGAGCCAAGUAAAACCUUUAUGACUAGUUUGGUGAUGGUUGUUUGAUCCUGCUGGAAAAAGACAGAAACUUUUCGCUCACGAAAUUAUUUUUCAUUUUUAUCCAGAAAUAGUUUUUGAGUUGAUCUUUUUGCUGCUGGUUUAUAUGCCUUUUUCCCAAACUGUCGUAAUUGUUCAGAAUUUUUGAGAUACCAGAAGUAUACGAAGUAUACAGUUUGCUACAAACUGGCCUGUUUUUGACAGAUUCUGUUUUUGUUGUGUUGGUUGCUUGUUUUGAUGAAACUAUGGAUAGUAUCGGGGGGGGGGGGACUAGUCAUGGAAAAGUGNNNNNNNNNNNNNNNNNNNNNNNNNNNNNNNNNNNNNNNNNNNNNNNNNNNNNNNNNNNNNNNNNNNNNNNNNNNNNNNNNNNNNNNNNNNNNNNNNNNNNNNNNNNNNNNNNNNNNNNNNNNNNNNNNNNNNNNNNNNNNNNNNNNNNNNNNNNNNNNNNNNNNNNNNNNNNNNNNNNNNNNNNNNNNNNNNNNNNNNNNNNNNNNNNNNNNNNNNNNNNNNNNNNNNNNNNNNNNNNNNNNNNNNNNNNNNNNNNNNNNNNNNNNNNNNNNNNNNAUAGUAUCGGGGGGGGGGUACUAGUCAUGGAAAAGUGAUAAUAUAAAUAGACAUCAAGAUUGCUAAAGUACCUAAAGAGGUGGUAGUUUGUUUUCUUGUGCUAAUGAUAUCACGAGCUUCUAUUUAAGUUUUGUGUUGUGAAGUUUUCAAGUUUUGGGUGAUGUUCUCAUGGACGAUGAGAUAAAGAGUGGAAAGAGAUCAAGCUUGGGGAUGCCCAAGGCAUACCAAGCCAAAUUCAAGGACACCAAAAAGCCUAAGCUUGGGGAUGCCCCAGGAAGGCAUCCCCUCUUUCGUCUUCAAUCCAUCGGUAACAUUACUUGGAGCUAUAUUUUUAUUCACCACAUGAUAUGUGUUUUGCUUGGAGUGUCUUGUAUCGUAGGAGUCUUUUCUUUUUGUUGUGUCACAAUCAUCCUUGCUGCACACCUUUUGAGAGAGACAUGCACUCAUAGUGAUUUUUGCUAGAAUACUCAUUGAGCUUCGCUUAUAUCUUUUGAGUUAGGCAAUUUAGCUCACAUGUGCUUCACUUAGAUCUUUUAGAGCACGGCGGUGUCAUAUUUUGGAGAAAUAAGAAAUCUCGAUCUUCACUUAUAUCUUUUUUAGAGUGAUCUCUCUGAGAAACUUGGUAGUUGGCUUGUGCUAUGAAAGUAGUCCCAAAGGUGAUAGGAAUCCAAAGAGGAUACAAUAAAACUUCCAUCUUCUUGUGCAUUGAUUAGAAAGAGAAGUUUCAUUCCUCUCAAAUAGUUUUGAGACAUGGAUUUGGUAAUAUUAAGAGUUAUGUUAGUAGGGUGUUGUGAAUCUAGAAAUACUUGUGUUGAAGUUAGUGAUUCCCGUAACAUGCACGUAUGGUGAACCGCUAUGUUAGGAAGUCGGAGCAUAAUUGAUCUAUUGAUUGUCAUCCUUUGUGUUGCGGUCGGGAUCGCGCGAUGGUUAACACCUACCAACCCUUCCCCUAGGAGUAUGCGUUUAGCACUUUGUUUCGAUUACUAAUAAAAACUUUCGCAAUAAGUAUGUGAGUUCUUCAUGACUAAUGUGAGUCCAUGGUAUAGAUGCACUUUCACCUUCCACCAUUGCUAGCCUCUAGUGCCGCGCAACUUUCGCCGGUGCACAAACCCACCAUAUGCCUACCUCAAAACAGCCACCAUACCUACCUACUAUGGCAUCUUCAUAGCCAUUCCGAGAUAUAUUGACAUGCAACUCCCACCGUUCCGUCUCAUGACUUGUGCCGUCACUUUCAUAUUGCCAUUGCAUGAUCGUAAGAUAGCUAGCAAGUCAUACGCCAAGCUAGAUCGUUGCACAUUCUGGUACAUUGCCGGAGGCAUUUCCUAUAAGAGUCAUCAUUGUUCUAAGCAUUGAGCUUUGAGUAAAUUAAAGUGUGAUGAUCAUCAUUAUUAGAGCAUUGUCGCAUGUGAGGAAAAAAAAGGGAGGCCAAAGUUGCCCACACAAAAAAAGAAGAAGAGAGAUUUGGAAAGAGGCCAAAGAGCCCAGAAAAAAAAAAGAAACAGAAAAAAAAGAAGAGAGAAAAAGAGAGAAGGGACAAUGCUACUAUCUUUUUCCACACUUGUGCUUCGUAAUAGCACCAUGUUCUUCAUGAUUGAGAGUCUAUCGUUUUGUCACCACCAUAUGCUAGUGGGAAUCUUCAUUAUAUAACUUGGCUUGUAUAUUCCAAUGAUGGGCUUUCUCAAAAUUGCCAUUGGUCUUCGUGAGCAAGCAAGUUGGAUGCACACCCACUAGUUCUCCUUUUGAGCUUUCACAUACUUAUAGCUCUAAGUGCAUCCAUUGCAUGGUAAUCCCUACUCUUUCACAUUGAUAUCUAUUAAUGGGCAUCUCCAUAGCCCUUUGAUACGCCGAGUUGAUGUGACCAUCUCCUCUUUUUUUGUCUCACAACCUCCACCACACUCUAUUCCACCUAUAGUGCUAUAUCCAUGGCUCACGCUCAUGUAUUGCAUGAGAGUUGAAAAAGGUUUGAGAAAGUAAGAGCGCAAAAACAAUUACUUGGCCAAUACCGGGGUUGUGCAUGAUUUAAAUUAGUUGUGUGGGGAUGACGGAGCAUAGUCAGACUAUAUGAUUUUGUAGGGAUAACUUUCUUUUGGCCUUGUUAUUUCGAAAGUUCAUGAUUACCUUGCUAGUUUGCUUUAAGUAUUAUUGUUUAUAUGUCAAUAACAAGAUAUUGUUUUGAAUCUUACGGAUCUGAACAUUCAUGUCACAUGAAAGAAGUUACAAAGGACAAAUAUGCUAGGUAACAUUCCACAUCAAAAAUUCAGUCUUUAUCACUUCCCUACUCGAGGACGAGCAGGACUUAAGGUUGGGGAUGCUUGAUACGUCUCCAACGUAUCUAUAAUUUUUUAUGGUUCCAUGCUAUUAUCUUGUCAAACUUUGGAUGUUUUGUAUGCCUUUUAUAUCUUUUUUUGGGACUAACUUAUUAACUCAGUGCCAAAGUACCAUCAAAUUCGCACAUCAAGCCGUCUCGGCGACUCAAGGGUAGGAUGCGCCAUUCCACCCAGCAGCGGAUCAGAUCAACUCCAGUAAGACCAUUGUUUGUUAAAGAUCGUAACUCGGAUAGCACUGGAAUGAAAUCCGAUUCUUCUUCUUCGGUGAGCUUGUCAGGAAGUUUGAAAUUUGUGGGCAGACGCUCCUUCCUAUAGCCUAGGAGUUUGUUCUCACCCGGAGGAGAAGUGUCCCGGCAGUAAAACCAAGACCCGCCCCAGCCUUUGGGGUGGCUGGGCAUGGCGAGUGAUGAGAAUGGGUUGUCUCUGCGUCGUUGAACAUUAACCCCUCCAAGUUCUAAGCUAGGGCCAUUGGAGAAAUCGGUCUGGCGAUUCAGGUGCAAGAAGUACCAAAACAAAUUGACCGACGGUUCCAUUCGUAGGUAAGCUUCACAGAAUACCUGGAAUUGGCACAUGUUGCUGCUCGAGUUGGGGCCCAGGUCUUGGAGGCGGACGUUCAUGAAGGCCAUAGCAUCUUUGAGGAACUUUGAUCCUGGCGGCUUAAACCCUCGUUCGAGGUGUUCAGCAAAAACAACUAUUUCUCCUUCAGCCGGGUUGGGAAUUUCGUCGCCUAGUCCAGAUCGUCAUCCGAUGACUUCCUUCGGAUCAAGGUUCCCUGUCUUUACGCAAUCCUCGAGGAAGGCAUCGUCAACUUUGGCCGGGAGCCAGUUGGCCUUGAAAACGGUACCCAUAGCUACAGAGAAAAAGGUCAUGGGUAAGUCAACCCGUCAAACACUUGUUGAGUGGCUAAGAGAAUCCAUUAACCCACCAGACACUUGUCGAGUGGCUAAGAGAAUCUAUUAACUGGCCAAUAAGGGACCAGGUUUGGGCACAAGGGCGACUUAAGAAUUUCCUAUUACUCAGAGAAGGUAUCCCACGGCAUCCAAGACGUGCGGUAAAAUGAUGAAGUCUGAAUCUACAAACAGUUUUCCACACAGUAAGCAGUGCAAUGCGGAUCUACGAGCAAGGUAAAAUAACAGAAAAAGGCUUGGAUGAAGCAAAACGGGCUGUGCCUAAAAAUGAAUAUGGCGGAGAUGAUUUGGCCGAAGCUUUUUUGGUUUUUGAAUAGGAAACUAUUUAAUCAAGGAUGCGGUUAACGCUAUUACAUCAGCUAUUACCAUUGACCAAUCAACAUGCAAAGGGAAGCUCGAAGUGUUCUAAGAACAUGGCAUGUGGCGGAUGCCGAAGGAUCAGGAUCUGAUUGCAACUGAUGAAGAUCUGACCUGCUAAUGGCGUCCGGAAGCGACUGUGCGGGUCCGCGGCGAGGACAACGUUCUCGCUAGGUUGAAGAUAUGUCAGACGCAGUGGGCGGCGAUGGAGUCCAUCGAGCGGCGACAGAACUUCAUAGGCGGUGGCGGAGUCCCUCGGGCGGCGGCGGAGUCCCCCGAGCGGCAACAGAUCUCCGCACGCGGCGGCGGAGUCCCUUGGGCGGCGACGGAAUCCUUCGGGCGGUGCAGAAAUCCUUUGGGCAGCGACGGAGUUCUUCGGGUGGUGUCAGAUUUCUUUGUGUGGUCACGAGGAAGAAGAAGUCGAUGGGACGAGUAGGUGAAGAUUCCCUCCGCUCCUGUUCCCGAGCCUAUUUAAUAGGUCGGGUGCAUGGAUCGAGGCGCCUCGCGCGGGAACCAAAAGGGCAAACUAAAGAUUCACACUUAUGGCGCCAAGAUUUUCGGGAUAUUUGCGCCACGAGAUCCGCUGGAGAUUGCGUCAUCAUUUUCCGAGGUUAAAGGGAUAAGGUGAUGUCAUCAAGAAACGGUUCGGCGACUUGGAUAUUUCCAUGGAGGAUGGCGGCUUAAGCAUAUGAUGCAUGAAAGGAGUGGAAUGAGUCGCUCCUAAACUAGGUAAGAGUUUAUUGGCGAGAACAGGUUCAAGUCAAUCUGGGGCCUAAUGUUGGGGAUAUUAUCUGCGGCGUGACCCGCCCUAGUUGGGCCGGGUCACCAAGUGGGUGACUCAUCCUUUGGUGGUUCAAGCUUUGGCCCAGAAGGCCCAGGAGCUGGAUGGCGGUUCAAGAUCCACAUGGAGGAUAAAUUAUCGGGGAGUUCUCCAGUCUUUGAAAGCACGGCGAUUUAGAGAUAGAAAGAAUCACGACUUGUGUUAUGGCAAGGACUCUUGUAAACCCUAAGGCCUCGACCUGUAUAUAAAGGUGAGUUCCUGGAGAGGAGAGGGCAGGUUAGAAAUCAUCGAGAACUAGGUCAGGCGAGUUACUCCCUCCUUGUAAUCGAAACAUCAUCAAUACAAAACAAAGCAGGACGUAGGCUUUUACCUCCUCACGAGGGGCCGAACCUGGGUAAAUCUGAGUCCCGCUCCCGUUCAACCCCUUUGAGUCGCCACCAAGGUGCGAUGGCUCCAUCAUUAAGUCCUUUCACUAGGACAUCUGCCGUGACAAAACCACGACAAUCGUCAAGCGUUUUCUCACAGAAAUUGAGAAGUGGGACGUCGCCACAGGCAGCAUGUUCGACAUCGAACUGCUCAAACUCUGGGUAACCUUGUCUACAGCGAGCCCAAGGCGCUGCUCCUCACGUGAAAAGAAUCCGCCACCAAGAAUGAGGCUACCGGGGGCUCCGGUGACCAGCCGAAAGCGCCACCGUUAGUCCAAGAAGUCGUGCGCCGUGUGCUCGGCGGAAGCGGAAACUCGCGACGAGGCGACCGUACGAGCCGCCCAACAGACGGAUGCAAAACGCCGCCCUCACGGUCCGGACGACAUCAACAUAUCGGUGUAGUGCUUGCCUAUACGAGCCACCCAACAGACGCGCGCAAGACGCCGCUCCCGCAGUCCGUUCUCCAUGAACAUAUCAGUGCAGUGCUUGCCUACAUGAGCCGCUCAAGAGACACGCGCAAGCCGUCGUACCCAUGGUCCAUUAUCCAUUAACAUAUUGGUGCGGUGCUCUCUUAUAUGAGCCGCCCAACAGACGCAUGCAAGCCGCCUGUGCGGCCCGUUUCCCCAACAACAUUGGAGCAAAGGAAAAAAUAACAUUCAUGUCUUACUCAAUGUCAUCAAAACAUGGAGAGCUUGUCAUGAAGGAAACAUCUCUGGUGAAGGCUACAAAUUGAGUCGGCCAUCAUUAAGUCGGCAAAUUCAAAGUAAACAGCAAAGGAAAAACAAAGUGGCCCUCGAGGAACCAUGAGAGUCGGACUACCUGAGAAUCAAGCACGGGUCAAAAAUCCAUCAUCAACUGUCAAAUCUUAUGCCGGUUUAUGCCACAAUCAAGUAUGAAGAAUCUCAAGCCGCCUCCUUGAGUCGACUUAAGACUCGGGGGCUACAUGGACAUGGCUCGGCAGACUCAACUGGGAUGAAUAAUUCAAGAACCCCGGGUCGUUACAGAAAAAUCAAGCCGGUCUCGGGGGCUGAUGCCUCAUUGACAAGAUGAUUUAAAGAUCGCCUAAGAAGACAAGUCGCCAUGAUGCGACCGCCCAAACAUGGGUGCCCGACCUAGCCGUCCAAGCAUGGACGCUAUCAGUAUCAAAGAGCAUAAGUCGUCAUGAUGCACUUAUUUCAAAACUGGAUACUGGUAAGCCAAAGAGGACCAAAGUUGCCACAUUGCACGGUUCAAACAUGGGCGCCUUAUAUGGUUUUGAGGAUUAAGCCGACUUACUUGGGGCUUACUAGCUCCCAAGUCGUUUUGCAGUAAGAGCGUACGCUUCUGCAAUCCUAUGUCUAGCUUUUCCCUAAUCAUAGGUCACUUGGGGGCUUCCACUCACUGAGUUCAGCCUAAAUACCCUCUUGGCUAGCGAAAAAUUAACGCAUUACAAAUGGUUAUACUGGACUGUGUGUUGGGAAAUCGCCCUAUGAUCCCAUGUACUCUUGGCGAGUCAAUCCGCUUUUGGACCCUGAACUUGCCUUGGUUAAAACAUGAAAGGUACUGGCAAGAGCCAACGCAUGGAAAAUAGACAAACCAUUGGUUCACUGAACCUGCUUCACUGAAGCCUGACUCACGCGUGAUCAGCCGGUCUAAAUAAUUCAGGCUAUUGCAAAAGCCUUCUUGGGGUAACACUAGAGUUUUGCAAACUCGUCUUGUCGUGUCGUGACUCAUCGAGCCGACAAAUUUUAUGAUUAUCUUUGUGGCACUGCCAUAAAGUUUUUAUAAAAAGUUUUAUAACUCGCCGAGACUCACUGAGUCGGCCGCCGUGACUCACUGAGCCGGCUUAACCUCUUUUGGGUACCACUAGAGCCUUGAGAGCUCGUCUUACCCGCCGAGACUUACUAAGCGGGCUAUGGUGUAACCAACACUAUUCUGUCAUAUGCAUGCAUCAUAUUGCAUUGCAUCAUGCAUCAUACAUACAUAUCAUGCCGGUCUUCAAACCGGGUCAAAGCAUAAUUUUUUGCAGGAGCAAAUAUAUCUUUGAAUAGCCAAUUGGCUGGAUUUUCAUCAUGGUUUAUCAUAACCAGUGUUAAAUGAUUGAGGUUUUUAAGGCCAUCUCGGAAGAAUUGACUAUUGUCAAAGAGCCGCCCUAUCACAUAUAAUGCCGAGUCAUCUAAUUGACUGACCCUUGGAUUUCUUCAACUCGUGCUCUGUAGUAAACUGCAACACUUAUGGAUUUCUCCGACAUAUGGAUUUCUCAAGGAUAUAUUUGCCGGGUUACAUUGCAACCAUGGUCAAGGAUUUCUUUUAUCACAAAGGCAUCAUCAGCUCACAGAGUGGAUAUGAUUUUAUUCUACAAUGGAAGGAAUAGUCCCAAGUUGUUGCAGGCACACAACCCGGCACUUGAGGGCUACAUUAUUCAGAUCAAGAUUACAUCAAAAUAUGAAAGUCCCAUGUCGCUGCAAGCAUGCGCCAUGACACUUGGGGGCUAAUGCAAUCCGCUUUUCAAAUCAUCACAUCAUCAACAGACCCGGCUACAGGUCGCUUUUUAUUCAAGUAUGGAUUCAAGGAAGAACCGGCUCAUCAUUUUUAUAAUGACCCGGUCCUUGGGAGCUACACAUUGCUGCUCAAGGUUCCAUCAUCAGAUUUACAAAGUCAUUGCUCAUUAUUUCAUAAUGACCCGACCCUUGGGGGCUACACCAUAUGAUGUUUAAUUUUCAAAGGAGAAGCACGUGGAAGUCCCGAGUCACCACAAACAAUCGACCCGUCACUUGGGGGCUACACUAUUCAGAUCAUAAUUUCUAAAGUCCCAGGUUGCCGCAGGCAAGACAACCCGACACUUGGGGGCUACAUCACUAAGUUGUUUCACAGAUCAUGAGGUUCAAAUUGAAGACCCGGCCCAUCACACACUCAUGACCUGGCUGUUGGGGGCUACAUGUAAUAUGGAUAUAUCAAAAAAUUGAAGAGCACAUUUUAUUUCGUCAUGGAGGUGAAGUAUUGGGAGACCGGUUCAACAUCACAUGGAUUUCUUUAUCCCCAAUAAUUCGAUAUAGUCUUGAGUUCAGUUGUUUGACGAGGCAUUACAAAUAAUAAUGACCCGCCAUUAGCAAUCAUGACCCGCCAUUGUCAAACAUAACCCGCCGAAGCAAGAGAAGCUGGUUCAACAUUGUGUAGAUUUCUUAUUCCCCAAAUUUUCAUCAAGCCAAAGCAUUGGAGGCCGACUCAAUUGCAUUUGUAUUUAUUUUGCAAAGGACAUGGACCUGCAAGAUGAUUGUAAAAAUGACUCAUUCAUAUGGAGAAGAGACCGGAUUUCUGAGGAGCCACUUCAUAAACCAGCCAAGGGAGCGAGCCUGUCACUUAGCAUAUUUGCUAUUCUUAUUUCAGGAGCUUACCAUGAAUAAAUUCAAGCUAACCUGGGGGCUAAUGUCGGGGAUAUACCCCGCGGUAUGACCCGGCACACGGUUAUGACUGGGCAGACAGUUAUGACCGGCAGACAAUUAUAACCCGCCAGACAGUCAAGUUCCGGAGAUGAUUCCCUGAAGAUGAAUCUUAAAGAGCAGCCCGGUUGUAAGCUGCCCGGUCAUAAGUCGCCCGGGACUCAGCAUUCCGUUUGUAAGGAGCCCGGUUGUAAGGAGCCCGGUAGUAAGCAGCCCGGUCGUAAGCCUCCUGGGACUCAGCAAUCUGUUUGUAAGCAACCCGGUCGUAAGCAGCCUGGUUGUAAGUCGCUCGGGACUCAGCAAUCCGUUCGUAAGUCGCCCGGACUCAGAAGCCCACGAAGAGAAGCUCGUAAUGGAGAGUCAUAAUAUGCUAAGCCUAAAUCCGGCUUGGACUCUAUAUGUAACUCGCCCCUUCAGCUUAUAUAAGGAGGGGCGAGACACCCCAAGAGGGUUAGGGUUUUUUAGAGGUCUCAAGAGACAGAUUCACAACUUAGGUGUAGACAAGACAGAUCAUGAGAUAGACAGAUUAGACACCCACGAGAUUAGAGGUGCAGAGUCUGCACCCUUGUAAUCGAGAUCAUCAUCUUCAUCAAUGAAACACAAGCAGGACGUAGGCUUUUUCCUCCAUCGAAGGGGCCAAACCUGGGUAAACUCGCGUCUCUCGAUUCCGACCAACCCCUUCAAGCCGCCACAUGGUUGCGAUGGCCUCACACCUAAGUCCUUGUACGAGGAGAUCUGCCGUGACAAAACCACGACACCGUGCUAGGCCAGAAGGAAGCAUCUCCAAGGGCCAUGAAAGAGAGGAGGCCAUUGAGUUUUCUGUUGACUUUAUUCCUGAUAUUAAGACGAUUGUUGUUCCUCAGUCGCGGCAUGAGGGGAGACUGAGUGGAAAAGGCAUGCUAGGACCAAAAUCAAUAAUAUGUAGGUAUGGGCAUUCUUGGAUGCAAACACACUACAUAAUUUUACAAAAUUCUACCUUGGUGGCCCCGUAUAUCAAUGAACACAAGAAUAUUCUAUGCUCCAAAUACCAGGAGCAGUCUGGUGACUCGAUUACACAUGAACAAAUGGGGACUUUCGACGGUUGGCUGCAAACACGUCUCAGGAGUAACAAAUUGUUGGAGAUGACUUGUAGUUGUUGUCCAGGACACCAUCUUCGGCCGUAUUGACUUUCCAAGGGUACGAGAUAAAUGGGAAUACAUUUUACAAAAUCGCCCAAGAUAAAAAGAGAACCAACCAAAACAGUGGUUUCCGCUUUGAUGCAGGAAACACCAAUAGGGCAAAGGACAAAUAUUAUGGUUACAUAGAGGAGAUAUGGGAACUUGACUAUGGGCGUGAUGAUUUUAAGGUCCCUUUAUUUCGGUGCAAAUGGGUAAAUCUGAUAGGAUGCGGGGUACAGGUAGACCCGCAGUAUGAAAUGACAACAGUGGAUCUCAACAAUCUUGGGUACACAGAUUAACCAUUCAUCAUAGCCAAUGAUGUGGCGCGGGUUUUCUAUGUGAAGGUCAUGUCUACCAAACCAAGAAAAAGGAAAAAAUAAGGAAGUGAAUACAUCAUACGAUGAGACAAAGAGCCACAUAGUUCUUUCAGGGAAAAGAAAGAUCCUGGGAGUGGAGGACAAGGCAGACAUGUCAGUAGAUUAUGAAAAGUUUCAUGAAAUUACUCCCUUCAUAGUGAAGAUUUACCUAAGCAUCCUCUUAAAUGAUGAAGAUUAUUCAUGGUUACGACGCAAUAAGAAAAGGGACAAACUGGAGAGAAUCUUAGCUAGUGCAUUUUGGCAUUUGAAACAUGAUUUUAGAAUAAUUAUUUAUUAAAUUAUGAAUUUUCAAUUAUUCCUGUCCUUUUAUUAUUCAAGAUAAGCCGCUUGAGGUACGAAGGAGAUUGUACAGUUUGUACACGAAGUGCAUCCAUUUUUGUUGUAACCCUCUCAACUUUCUAGACGAUGCUAUGUGGGUGAAAUGAUGAUACCAUGCCAAAUUUCAACCUUUUCCGAGUUCAUUUGUAGUGCUUUUCAAUUUCAGGGUCAUUUGACUCAAAAAACCAUUGAAUGCAUGAAAAAUAGCAAAUGAAGUCAGAAAGGGUUGAAAAUUGCUGAUGUGGCUUUGAAUGGUGCAUAUUGAAUGCGCAAAAAGUUUGGAGUAGAAAUAAGCUUAAAAAUGAAAUGCCUUUGUAACAAAUGAGUUUUUGUCCGAAACCAUCAUACUUUGAAAGAGAUUGUCCAGUUCGUACACGACGUUCAUCCAGUUUUUGCCGUAACUCUCUCAACUUUUUAUCACAUGCUAUGUGGGUGAAAUGAUGAUAGCAUGCCAAAUUUCAACCUUUUCAGAGUUCAUUUGUAGUGCUUUUCAAAGUAAUAUGUGGGUGAAAUGAUGAUCCGGAAGAAACAUUUUGACAGCAUUAAUCGCCCCGUGUCAUAUUUUCAAAAACAUAUUGAUAAACCACCACCCAAUGCUAGCCCUUGAAUGCGAAAUGUUGCGGGAAUGGUACCUAUGAAAAAUAUCUCUAUAGAGCUAUUAGUCACUCUUUGAUGAAAACCUAUAUAAUCAAUCAUUGCAUUCAUACAAUCAUUCACUCUAGCAAGCAUUCCAGUAAUCAAAAUACAAUCAAUGAAUAAAGCAAUAAAUAAAACAAUAAGGUUAUUAGGUUAAAAAAAGUAUUUUAUAAUAUUCUUCAAUAGCAAAAAGAAUCAACUAGAAAGCUUUUAUAAAACUCUUGUUAUGAUCAAAAUAUUAUUAACUUAACAUUAUAUAAAAUUUAACCAACUAAAAUUUUCAUGAAGUAUUUUUUCUUAAAAACUUUAAUAGUAAACAUAAUUAAAUGAAAACUAGGCAUGUAUGCAUCUGUUUAAAAGAAAACUAGGCAUGUAUUUUUUUCUCCAACGUAUCGAUAAUUUUUUAUUGUUCCAUGCUAUUAUAUUAUAUGUUUUGGAUGUUUUAUAUGCAUUUAUAUGUUGUUUUAUAUUAUUUUUGGGACUAACCUAUUAAUCUAGAGUCUAGUGCGAGUUUCUGUUUUUCCACAUUUUUGAAUAUUGUAGAUAAAGAAUAUUAAAUGGAGUCCAAAUGGAAUAAAAUCUGCGAAAAGAUUUUUUUCUCGACGAGAAGACACGUAACAUACUUAGGGUAGGGGGCAAGGCAGUUGUCGGGAGGCCACAAGCCUGCAGGGAGCAACGAGAACACUUUUACGCCGCCGGGAAACCCCUGCACGUCUUCUAACCCUAACUCUUGGCCUAUAAAUUCCCAAAUAUUCCAGAAACACUAGAGGGAGCAACGAGAAUGCUUUUACGCCGCCGGGAGCCUCUGUUCCCAAGAGAUCCAAUCUGGAAGCCUUGUCCGGCAAUCUGCUGGAGAGGGAAUUGAUCACGGAGGGCAUCUACAUCAACUCCAUUGCCCCUCUGAUGAUGUGUGAGUAGUUCACCACAGACCUAUGGGUACAUAGCUAGUAGCUAGAUGGCUUCUUCUCUCUCUUUGAUCUUCAAUACGAUGUUCUUCAUGAUCUUCAUGGAGAUCUAUCCGAUGUAAUACUCUUUUGCGGUGUGUUAGUCGAGAUCCGAUGAAUUGUGAGUUUAUGUUCAGAUUAUCCAUGAAUAUUAUUUGAAUCUCUUUUGAAUUCUUAUAUGCAUUAUUUCAUAUCCUUGCAAUUCUCUUUGAAUUAUUUGUUUUGUUUAGCCAACUAGAUUGAUAAUUCUUGCAAUGAGAGAAGUGCUUAGUUUUGGGUUUAAUCUUGCGGUGUCCUCACCCAGUGACAGUAAGGGGUAGCAAGGCACGUAUUGUAUUGUUGCCAUCAAGGGUAAAAAGAUGGGGUUUUCAUCAUAUUGCUUGAGUUUAUCCCUCUACAUCAUAGCAUCUUACUUAAUGUGUUACUCUGUUCUUCAUGAACUUAAUACUCUAGAUGCAGGCAUGAGUCGGUCGAUGUGUGGAGUAAUAGUAGUAGAUGCAGAAUCGUUUCGGUCUACUUGAUACGGACGUGAUGCCUAUAUGCAUAAUCAUUCCCUUGGAUAUCUUCAUAAUUAUUUGCUUUUCUAUCCAUUGCUCAACAGUAAUUUGUUCACCCAUCGUAUUAUUUUCCUUUAUGAGAGAAGCCUCUAGUGAAACCUAUGGCCCCAGGGUCUAUUUUUCAUAUCAUAUUUUCAGAUCUAUAAACCAAAAAUACCAAAAAUACUUUGCUACAAUUUAUUUACUUUAGUUUUACUUUCAGAUCUAUCAAUAUUUAAUACCUAUCUCUAUCAGAUCUCACCCUUGCAAAUAACUCUCAAGGGAUUGACAACCCCUUUAAAGCUUUGGGUGCAAGUUUUUGAUUAUUUGUGUAGGUACUACUAUUGGAGUCUUGUUUGUUACUCCUACUGGAUUGAUACCUUGAUUGUCAACAAACUGAGAGAAAUACUUAUCUACUUGGUUGCAUCACCCUUUCCUCUUCAAGGGAAAAUCAACGCAAGCUCAAGAGGUAGCAAGCGCCGCCCCAAUCCCCUACACUUCAUUAACCCUGAUGCCCUCGGCGCCGUCGCCUCCCACACCGUUGCCGACGCGCCCCCCACGCUAUCCCCGAGCCCUUCCUCGUCGCCGACGCCUCUUCGCUAUGAGUGCCCCCCGAUCCCCUCCUCCCGUCGAGGGAGUUGAAAAUGUUUUGGCAAAACGUGGGUUCAUUUAUGUAUCAUCGAAUUUCUGGCAUUCAGUAUGUCCAUUUUUUACCAAUGGUCUUGUCAAUUUUUCCAUUGAUUUUUUAUUCUAUGCAUGCAACACAAAAUGGAAGAAUGCCCGUAUAGUUUUGACGCAGCUGUAUGUGCGACGAUCCUCACCUUGACUAUAGUAAAUGUUAUUCCAUCACUCUACAAUGUGACUACAACUAUUAUAAUUUUAAGUUUGCUAGCAAAUACAAUUUUCUGUUUUCCUUCAAACUGUAAUUUAUGUUUUAUAUUUGUCAACUAGUGUGUCCCUUGCUAUGCAAGACCUUUUCUCCUAGACAAAUUUUUUGUUAGUGACAUGGAAGAAGUGACUCAGAUGACUACUUACCUCAAGAUGAAAGGUGGUUUCAAUUUCAAAUGUACGAUCUAUAAUUAGGUAGAUCAUACAUAUUCUAGUUGUGCUAAUAGAAAGGAUUGACCAAAGCAUACGGUUUUGAGCCUGUUAUGAAAAUAACAUUUGAUAUUGGCACAUAUUCUGUAAGUGAUGACGACACAUGGGUGAAUUUAGACAUGAUGCCCACCUCCGUGUAAGUUUCUUAGAUAGGCUUGUUAAAUAACACUUAGAUUAUACACCAAAAUAGAUGUUAUUCAACUAGAACUUAUCUUCUUUAUUUAGAAUUGAUAGCUUAUUUUCUAUCUCCAAGAAAUAUAAGGGACAUAGUAGACGACACCUAUUACACUAUCUGCAGUAUGCUUACUUGGCAGGAAAAAUGUUACCUUAUGUUCUUUCUUGCUAACAUUGAGUCCCUUAAGGGCAUUUAUGGGGCUUGUCCGAAUGAUGCACGACACCUGCCACUAGUCCAUACCUUGAACAAAGGCAACAUUUGUGGAAAAUGCAUGGUAAGAGUUUCGACUAUAGCAUGUCUUUCACAUAUUUGCUUUCUUCUUACAGAAGUCAAGUGUCGGUUACUAAAUGUUGCUUAGUAUGUUACUAUUUCGUUCAAGGACAGAAGCUCUCAAGAUGGGUUGUGCCUCCGAUGAUGGAUGACCACGAGGAUGUUAUGGCAAUUAUUUUUGCCCACAAGAUCUAUUUCAGAGGUACAUACUUGAUUACACUAGAUGGGCAUCUUAAAAUAAAUGAAUGGAAGCAACUAGUGAGUGACUGCAACUUGAAGAUUGGGGAUUGGUGGCUCUGCGUACUCCACCAUGGAGAUGCAGGGUUUUUUCUAUACUUCAAGAUUGUUCCUACAGGAGAGGAGUACCGUAUUAGUAGUUACGAUGGUUAAUGUUUGUAUAUAUAUAUAAAUGAUGUGUACCAUAAUAUUAAUUAUAUUUUACGUGUUGUAAUAUCUCAUCGGCAUCAAUUUGGGAUGCAAAUGUGGUUCUCUAUAUAAUGAUACAAAAUUGCGUUGUCGUGGAGGCAUUUUUCGCUGCCAUGGCAGCAUUUUUGCUGCGUUUUGUCAAUUAGUAAUGACGUGUGGAAAAAUGUACGACGUCCGUAAUGAUCUCCCUAGUUUCUAACAUUUGGAAAGAUUGCACGCUAUAUAUAUGUAUGAUAUUGUUGUCAUGGAGAUAUGACCAACGCCAUAGCUACCUGAAAUACUGUUGGCGCUGGCUCCAACGUCACCACAAUUUUUAAUUGAUGCGCCAUAUUGGUAGUAUCGGGUGUCCAUGCCAGUAAGGCCGUUUUUACCACUCCAUAGAGAAGCUUUUCUACACUAGUGUUAAUUUCAAUCCAGUUGAAAGUCACCCUUUACUCGCAAGUAGUCUCGUACUUUGUUCUUCUCCUUGUUGCAAAUCCCUUCUCGAGUCGCAAUUGGGCCUGUAGUAGGUGUUUUUGCACUUGCAAGUUCAUCCCUCGACUCGCAACUGGGCCCAUACGUGUUGUCGACUUACCGUUUUGAAGCCCAUGCCUGGGCUCGCAACAAGGCCCAUAUGUGUUGUAGUCUUCCUCUUUGCAAGCCCACCCCCUCGACUCGCAUCCCUCCCUAUAGUUUUUUCUAACCCAGUUUCAAGUCCAUCCUUCACUCACAAACCGGGCCCGUACUUUUUGCUCUUUCCAAGUUAUAAGUCCCCCUCGAGUCGCAACUAGGGCCCAUAGGGUGUAGUUGUUGUCCCACUUGCAAACCCAUCACUCGACUCGCAAUUCGGGCCCAUGGGUGUUUCCAACUAGGUUCUAAGUUCAUCCUCCUCUCGCAAUUGGGACGUAUCUUUUGUUUUUGUCCCAGUUACCAGUCCUGCUCGAAUAGCAACUCGUCUCAUAGGUAUUCUUUUCUUCCCAAUUUCAAGCCAAUCCCUUGGACUCGCAACUUGGCUCCUAGUUAUUUUCAACCGAGUUGCAAGUCCAUUUUUGACUUGCAAAUGGGCCCAUAUUUUUUAUUCUUGCACCCAUUUCAAGUCCCCCCUUGACUUGUAACUCGACCUGUACUUGCCCUUGUCCUAGUUGCAAGUCCCCCAUCGAUUCGAAAUGGGCCCGUCGUAAGUGUGGUCCGACUUGCAAUGCAUUCCUCGACUCACAACUGGCCCCAUAUGUGUUGGUCUUCCCUGUAGCAAGCCUACCUCUCGAUUUGCAACUUGCCAUGUACUUAUUUCCAAUCCCGUUGCAUGACCAUCGACUAGCAAGUCCACCGAUGUUGGUGUCGUCCUGGUUCCAAGCCCGCCCCUCAAAUCUCCUUUACGCCAUUCACUGCGGCACAAUGUCAUUGUAUCACACAACGGUAGAAGCGAGCAAAUUGCAGAUGGAUCGGCCCAAGUCGCUAUGAUCCAUUUUGCUUGUCUUGUUUUUCUUCAUGGUUUGUCCUUGUUUAUCAGCCUGGGCAUUUGGGUACCCUAACCCGCUACCCGAGCCCGAACUGAACCGAAUUACUUGACAAUUCGGGUAAUUCGGGUAUCGGGUUAGGGUUCGGUUCUCAUUUCCUGGCUAUUCGGUUUUCGGGUUGGGGUUCGGGUUCUAGUCUGAAAAACCCGAAAUACCCAUACUACUCGAAUUAUUCAUACUAGCCAAAUUAUUCAUGCUAUUAUUACACUCACAUGUUACCCAUACUAACUAAAAUAGCGAGACUAUCCAAAAUACCCACACUACCCAAAUUAUUUAUACCAAAAUUUGAUGUGUGCUCCAAAUAUUUUGGGAUCUUUGGGUACCCAAAUUAUCCGAACCAAAAUUUUGGGUAAUUUGAGUUUGGGUACUUUUUUGGCAGAAAAAUUCGGGUUCCCAUUUUGAGUACACAAAUUACCCAUAAACCGAACUAUCCGAACCGAAAUAACCAAAGUACCCGAACGCCCACGUUGACUUGUUUAUCCCUUUUUUCCUUUUUUUUCUUCGCUAGCUUUUCUUUCCUUUUUAAUUUUUUUGUUUUUUAAAAAUAUUAUUUUUUAUUUUCAUUUUAUUAUUAAUCAUUGUUUAGAAAGUGUAUAAUUUGAAAAAAAAAAUCUUUUUCAAAAAGUGCUUGGAUUUUUCAAAAGCAAAUUAAGUUCUUGUUAUUCAAAAAAUAAUUGCAGGUUUAAAAAAUGAUUGUGUUUUAAAAAAAAUACUCAAAUGCUGAAAUAUUUAUUCCAUUUUAAAAAAAUGUUCACAAAUGAUGUCCGUCUGUCAGUAACUCUUAAGCUUUACAUAUACUGGACCAAGGGUGACACCAUGUUAGAUGACCCCUAGUCACAAAAAACAAUUCAAAAACUUAAAAAUUGUUUGUAUUCUCAUAAAUAUCCCUCAUAUUUCAAAAUUCUUCAUAAUUUGCAGAAAAAUUAACUUCUUUUCAAAAAUGUCUACAAAUCUUCACGCUUUACUUUGUUCUUAAGUGUUUCCCGCUUCUAAAACAUCACAAACAUUGAUGUGUUGUAAUGGUAAGAGUUGGUGCUCAGCAGUAUGAGGUCCUAUGUUUGAUUCUUUAGGAGCGCAAUAUGUAUCUCUUUUUGUUGCACUUAAAAAGAAUCCAAAAAACAAAUAUUCCCUCGGUGCCUAAAUAUAAGUCUUUUAGGAGGUUUCAGUAAGGGGACUACAUGCGGAUGUAUAUAAACAUAUUUUAGAGUAUAGAUUCACUUAUUUUGCUUCGUAGGUAAUCUCUAGUAAAAUCUUUAAAAAGACUUAUAUUUAAAAAUGAAGGGAGUAAUAAAAGUUAGAUGUGAGGUAUUAUGUCACGUCUAGAUGAGAUGUGACAUAGUUGGAUCCUUUCCUUUUGGUGGAGUAUUUUGCCCACGGCCUGGAUGCAGGAGGCCCAACCGUGGCUUGAGAGCAGAAAUAAUAAAUCACGGCAUAAUGAGCAUUGUAGUUAGCAAGUCCUUGCCGGUGGUGGUCGUCGGCCCUUGCGCCGGCAUCGUCCAUCUCUCCUCUUUCGACAGGUGCAUGCCUCCCUUCCCAGUCACUCUGCUUCUUGUCUUCAACCAGCCAAUCGAAGACCCCGUCGAGACCAUCAAGAAGGCGCUGUCGCAGGCGCUGAUGCACUAUCCCCCGAUGGCCGGCCGCACCGGCGACGACGGGGAGGGGGAGCUCCACAUCGCUUGCACCGGCGAGGGUGUCUCUUUCGUGGGUGCGUCGGCUAGCUGUGCCCUCGACGACGAGGCCACGAGAUCGGCGCUGCUCCUCAGCGACCUCGCCGUUGGCUACCCCGCCGAAUACUGCCGCCUCAGCGACCCCUUCCUGCUUAUGCAGGUGACCGAGUUCUCCCGCGGCGGGUUCAUCGUCGGCGUGACGUGGAACCACGUCAUGGCCGACGCGGCGGGGAUGGCGCAGUUCCUGCGGGCCGUUGGCGAGCUCGCCCGGGGGAUGCCGGCGCCGGCCGUCGCUCCGGUCAGGUCUGAAAUCGACGGCUCGGUGCCACGACUCCCGCCGCUGAUGGUCGCCGCUGUGAGGUCCCAGAUGCGCAUGGAAACGGAGGAACUCGCGAGCCUCGACGUCACCAUCCCCUCGAGCUUGAUCGGCCGCAUCAAAGAAGAGUGCGCCGGCGACUGCACGGUGUUCGAAGCCGUCGCAGCCGUGCUCUGGCGGUGCCGCACCCGCACGGUCAUCUCCGAUGCUGACACCGACGACCCUGUGGCCUUCGCCUUCCCGAGCAACGUGCGCGGCCUCGUCGGCGCCAAGGAAGGCUACUACGGCAAUUGCGUCGCCAUGCUGCAGGUCCAAGCCAGUAGCGCCGCGGUGGCGAGCGGCGACAUGAAGGACCUGGUGAAGCUCAUCAAGCUUGCAAAGGAGAAGGUAUCAGACAUAUUCGUGAAUGCCGGCGACGAGACCAGCGACGGUGCCAGUAGAGAUGAGCAGCAGCGGGCACACCCGCGCUCAAGGUACAACACGCUGAGUGUCACGAGCUGGAGGAACCUUGGGUUCGAAGCCGUGGAUUUCGGGCCUGGGAGGCCGGCGCGCGUGAUGUGGAAGCCACACCGGACGAUUGGGUUCGUCUGCGUUGUGUGCCCGCCGUGCAAUGCAAGGGGGGAGGACGGCGUCAACGUCGCGUCCUUUUGCGUCAAGCCGGAGCACGCCGGCGCGUUUGUAGCGGAGUUGGCGGCCCUCAACAUAUAAAUGCGAAUUCGUAGUAUCAUGUACUAGUAUCAUAUAAUCCCUCCGUUCCUAAAUAUAAGUCUUUUAAUCAAUUUCACUAAGAGACUACAUACAGAGCAAAAUGAAUAAAUCUACAAUCUAAAGUAUGUCUAUAUACAUCCGUAUAUAGUCCUUUAGUGGAAUAUCUAAAAAGACUUAUAUUAUGGAACGGAGGGAGUAUAUGAUAGUAGUGUAUGAUACCACAUCCGUAAUGCAUAGUAUCAUACGUUACUAUCAUAGAAUAGUUCAUUUAUUGUAAUGCAAGACACAUACAGUAGACCAAGCAGCUAGCUUGGUAAGCUACCAGCAAAAACUUGCAAUCAAUCAAAAAAAAAGACACAUACAGUAGUAGCACAUCAUUUAAUAUGAUACGAUAUCAUGGUAUGGUACUCAACCCUUUCUUUUUUCAUUUAAUUCUAUGUCACCUCAUCGAAAUUGCCUAGUUGGCAUGCAUGUACUACCUAUGAUACUACCAUUACGGGCAGCUUAAUACUUCAUUUUCAAUCAGAGUGUAAACCUAAAAUGGACGAAUUAAUUAGUCUCGCACUUUUUUUCAUACUACUCCAUCUGUCCCGGUGUAUAAGUCAUCUUACGAAACCAAAUAAUUUCAAAAUACUUAACCGCGGUAUUUUUUUUUAAUUUUUUGACAUGAAUAAAGGAAUCACCAAUAAAAGGCGGGAGACAUGUAUGUUUUUAAUGAUGUGAGACUAACUAGCACGACAUGCGGUGAUCAAUUCAUUGCAUGUAAUUGUAUUAAUUAGAAAACUAGCAUUGAUUUUUCUCGUUUUCCUUUUCGUCUUUGUCACGGUACAUAACCUAAGAUGACUUAUACACCGAAACGACGGGAGGAACAAACAUGCAUGCCCACACCACGUCUCUCUUCUCGUACUUGUAUGCCGUGCCCUUUUGCAUAAAGUCCGAGCAAUUCGACGCUUUGUUAGUGGAGUUGACUGCCCCCAAAAUAUAAUGCCAACUACAUCUUUGAUGGUGCAUGUUGCAAGAACCGCCUAUUUUUAUGAAAUAAUAAAUAGUUUUUAUUUAUAUAUUUGUCCAUAAAUAAAGUUUUAAAAGAUGGAUAUAAAUUUAUUCUUAAAGUUUAGAUGAUGCAAAUAGUUGAAAAGUAUUUGCCCUACUCAUACUAAGUAACAUAAUACAAAUAACAUUAGGAAUCAGUUCUUUGAGCUUGUGUUGGACCCUGAAUUUUAUGAAACAUACUUACAUUAAUAAAAUGGUUGCAUGCAUCGUCAUGAUACAGAGACCGGGGACGAUCCUUGUUUUAUUUUUGAAAAGGCUUGCAUGGCAAGUACAAUAAAGCCCAAUCAACCACAUGUCUUCAAAACUGCCACAAGAAUAGUGGCCCAAUAGGACAAACAUGCCAGAUCACGGUAAACUGAAGCUGGAACAGAGAUCUAAAGGCUAGAAAUGAUCUAAACGUGAAAUACAACGACCGAAAUUUGUUGGGCGCUCAGUUUAGAUGCACUUUUAUUGUCCUCAAUUCAUAGUGCAUUUACAAUUCCCAAAAUAAUUUCUUCAAAUUUUGGGGUGAACCUAAAAUGGACCAAUCAAACGAUCCCAAACGGUUUUCUCAUAUAUGGUUACCUUUGCUUAUUGAUUUUUUUAGUACGGUUCAUAAGUUUUUCUUGAAUGAUUUUAAGAUUGAUACGCCUCUGCGACGAGGACCCCGACGCCUCUGCGCCCCUCGCGUUCACGAGCAACGUGUGUGGUCUCAUCGGCGCCAAGGAAGGCUACUACGGCAACUGUGUCAUCGUCCAGGUGAUACAAACAACAAGCGGUACAGUGGCGAGCGGAAAAAUCAAAGACCUCGUGGAGCUCAUCGGGCUUGCCAAGGAGAAGGUAUCAAACAUAUUCGUGAAUGGUGGCGAUGAGACCGGUGCCGGUGGUGGAGAUCAACAUCAGCUGGCAGCCGCGAGGUACAACACUCUUUGUAUCUCGAGCUGGAGGAACGUUGGGUUUGAAGCUGCGGAUUUCGAGGGUCGGCUGCGCCUCUAGCCACACAAUAUACAGCUCUUUUUAAUAUUGUACAAAGUAAGGAUUCUUAUGUUGCUACAAUUAUGCAACCAGUUCCUCUCAAUAUUCAGUUUAGGAGAUCUCUAGUAGGGGAAUGAUGCAAUGCAUGGCUCCAUCUAGUUCGCAGAUUGAUGGAAAUUCACUUGUCGGAAGAACCUGACACGAUUCAUUGAAGAUUAACUAUAAGCGGUAGUUUUUCAGUGAAAUCAAUGUAUCUGGAUAUUAUCAAUGCCGUAAUAAUACCCACUUGUCCACACAUUUUGAAAAUUAAAGUAUCUCUGAAGAUUAAGAUUUUCACGUGGUUUGUUCAUAAAGGACUUAUACUUACAAAAGAUAAUUUGGUUAAACGAAAAUUGGUAGAGGUAAUUCUAGAUGCUGCUUUUGUGAUCACAACGAGACUACUAAACACCUCUUUCUCGAGUGCCCUUUGACAAGACUUUUUAUGGUGUAGAUACGUCUCCAGCGUAGCUAUAAUUUAUAAAGUAAUCAUGCCAUGUUUAUCAUAAUUCUAUAUGAUUUUGGUAUGGUUUGAUUAGAACUAACCCGGACUGACGUUGUUUUCAGCAGAACUAUUGUGGUGUUGUUUUUUGUGCAGAAAUAAAAGUUCUUCAAAUGCAACAAAACUUUUAGACAAUUUUUUAUAUAAGGAAAUAGCCCGAGGAAGCUUCGAGGAAGAACCAGAAGAUGCUCAGGGUGCCCACACAACACCAUCGCACGCCCCCUGGGCGCGCCCUGAUGUUGUGUGGCCCCCCUGAGGCCCAUCUCCGCGUGAUUCCGACACUGAAAAAUCAUAUAUAUCAAGAAACCUCCGAAAGUUAACUAAGAACUUGGACUCCGCCGCCGCACGCCACUGUAUCCUCCAAAAAGCAAUCUGGACCCUCUUCCGGCACCCUGUCGGAGGGGGAAAUCAUCACCGGAGGCCAUCUUCAUCAUCCCGACAGCCACCAUGACAUGGAGGGAGUAGUCCACCCUCGAGGGUAGGGGUAUGUACUAGUAGCUAUGUUUUUGAUAUCUCUCUCCUGUGAUAAUGAGAUGUCACGAUCUUGAUGUAUCAUGGGCAUUGUUGAUAUAGAUGGAUCAUAUGAUGUUUCUCUCCUCUCCAUCCUUGGUGUGAUGAAUUGAAUCUUUUCCCUUUGAAGUUUUGUUAUUGUCAGAUUGAAUAUUCAGAUUUGGGAACACAUGAUGUAUGUCUUGCAUAAUCAAUAUUCGAGGUGACAAUGGGGUAUCAUAUUGAUUCACUUGAUGUAUGUUGUGGCACUCAACUUGCUGAUUCCUGUACUGACAUUGGGGUAAUCUAUGCAUAUGGGUUGAUGCACGUUUUCAUUAUCUUUUCUCUGAUAGAAACUUUGGGGAGUCCUUGUAGUUCUUUGUGUGGAUUGAAUAUUAUGAUUAUGAAGUUGUUUGAUGCAUAACGUAGAAUCAACUCACGAAUACUUGUGGUGACAUUGGAGUAUCUAGGUGACAUUAGAGUUGGUUGAUGUUGGGGAUAUAACCCCACGGUAUAAACCGUCCUAUUGGUCUGGGUUACUGAAGAUGGUGACUCAACGUUCAUAGUCAGGGCGGCCCCUGAUGUGCAAGAUUGGAGGCGCAAGGCGGGUCACCAAGAUGAGACCGUUGGCGGCCCAGGACACGAAGAUGGCGAUUUAAGGCCCAAAAGGAAGAAGGUCGCCAGGAGUUUCCUUGCUUAGGAGCAAGGCGAGUUAGAGACAUAUCGGGUCACAAAUCAUAACGUGACCCGGGUUCUUGUAAGCUUAGGGUCUCGACCUGUAUAUAAAGGCGAGUCCCCAAGGACAAUAGACUUAAGUUACAAUCCAUCGAGAGCCAAAUCAAGCGAAUUCGCACCCUUGUAAUCAAUUUCAUCAUCAAUAUACACAAAGCAGGACGUAGGACUUUACCUCCAUCGGAGGGGCCGAACCUGGGUAAACUCGUCUCUCGUUCCCGAUCAACCCCUUUGAGUCGCCGCAUAGUUGCGAUGGCCUCAUCACUAAGUCCUUUCACGAGAAAAUAUGUCGUGACAAAACCAUGACAGUUGGCGCCCACCAUGGGGAAGUCGCACGAUGGAGUUGAGUUCUCAAAGGGAGCCCUUCUAGGGUUCUGGAGCUACGCAGUUGGUCUUGUUGGAAAUAUUCCGUAGAGGCAAUAAUGAAAUAGUUAUUAUUAUAUUUCCUAUUUCAAGAUAAUCGUUUAUUAUCCAUGCUAUAAUUGUAUUGAAUGGAAACACAAGUGCGUGUGUGGAUACAUAGACAAAACAAUGUCCCUAGUGAGUCUCUAGUUGACUAGCUCGUUGAUCAAACAUGGUUAAGGUUUCCUAGCCAUGGACAAGUAUUGCCAGUUGAUGACGGGAUCACAUCAUUAGGAGAAUUAUAUGAUGUACAAGACCCAAACUAUAACCGUAGCAUGUGAUCGUGUCAUUUUGUUGCUAUUGUUUUUCUGCAUGUCAAGUAUAUGUUCCUAUGACCAUGAGAUCAUCUAACCCACUGACACCGGAGGAAUUCCUUGUAUGUAUCAAACAUCGCAACGUAACUGGGUGAUUAUACAGGUGUUCUACAGGUAUCUCCGAUCGUGUCCGUUGAGUUAGUAUGGAUCGAGACUGGGAUUUGUCACUCCGUAUGACGGAUAGGUAUCUCGGGGCCCACUGGGUAAUAGAACAUCACAAACAUGCCUUGCAAGCAAUGUGACUAAAGAGUUAUCCACGGGAUCUUGUAUUACAUAACGAGUAAAGAGGCUUACCGGUAACGAGAUUGAAAUAGGUAUGGAGAUACCGACGAUCGAAUCUCGGGCAAGUAACAUACCGAAGGACAAAGGGAAUGAUACACGCGAUUAACUGGAUCCUUGACAUAGAGGUUCAACCGAUAAGAUCUUCAUAGAAUAUGUAGUAUCCAAUAUGGGCAUCCAGGUCCCGCUAUGGUAUAUUGAACAGAGAGUGUCUCGGUCAUGUCUACAUAGUUCUCGAACCCGCAGGGUCUGCACACUUAAGGUCCGGUGACGUUUUGGUAUAGUUGAAUUAUUGAUAUUGGUAACCGAAUGUUGUUCGGAGUCCCAGAUGAGAUCCCGGACGUCGCGAAGGUUUUCCGAAUGGUCCGGAGAGGAAGAUUAAUAUAUAGAAAGUAUCCAUUUGGCUUCCGGAAGGUUUCCGGGCAUUACCGGUAAAGUACCGGGAGAGACGAAUAGGUUCCGUAGUUCCACCGGGAGGGGCCACUCACCCGGGAGAGAACCAAAGAGGCCCAGGGUGGCACACCAUCCCCUGGUGGGCUGGUGGCCAGCCCAAGUGGGCCUGGUUCAGACGAAGGAGGAGAAAGGAAAGGAGAGGUGGGGCAAACCGAAAUAGGAAGGGACUCCUCCUCCCAAUCGGAUUGGAGGGUGACUCCUCUUCCUUCCAUGGCGCGCCAGCCAACCCUAGGGAUUUUUCCCUAGGGCGCCACCCCUCCCUCUCUCCUAUAUAUAGUGGAGGUGAGAGAAGCUUUUGGCACCCAAGCCAUAGUACAACCCUCUCUCCCUCCACCACUUCGUGACACCCCGUAGCUAGUUCGGUACGGCACGGCGAAGCCCUGCCAGAGUAACUCCACCACCAUCACCGCCACGUCGUUGUGCUGCUGGAGAGUUCAGCUACCUCUUUGCCUCUCUUGCUGGAUCCACAAGGCAGAGAUCGUCAUCGAGAUGUACGUGUGCUGAAUACAGAGGUGUCGUCCGUUCGGUACUAGAUCGGGACGGACUUCGUGGGACGCUUGCGAUUCGGAUUGCGAAGACGUUCGACUACAUCAACCGCAUUUAUUAACGCUUCCCGCUUAGCGAUCUACAAGGGUAUGUGGAUCCGAUCUCCCCUCUCGUAGAUUAUCAUCACCAUGAUAGGUUUUGCGUGUGCAUACGAAAUUUUUUGUUUCCCAUGCGACGUUCCCCAUCAGUGGUAUAAAAGCUAGGUUCAUGCGUAGAUGAUAUCUUGAGUAGAACACAAAAGAGUUUGUGGGUGUUAAUGUUCAAUUUUCUGCCCUCCUUAGUCUUUUCUUGAUUUAGCGGUAUUGUUGGAUUGAAGCGGCCCGGACCAACAUUCCUCAUGCGCGUACGAGAGACCGGUUUCAUCGACUAACAUUCAACUUGUUGCAUAAAAAUGACUGGCGGGUGUUUGUUUCUUCAACUUUAGUUGAAUCGGAUUUGACCGAGGUGGUCCUUGGAGAAGGUUAAAUAGCAAUUUGCACACCAUCGUUGUGGCUUUGCAUAAGUAAGAUGCGAUCAUACUAGAUACCCAUAGCAGUCAUGUAAAUUUUGCAACAACAAAUUAGAGGACGUCUAACUUAUUUUUGCAGGGUAUGCAUGUGAUGUGAUAUGUCCAAUGACAUGACAUGAUAUAUUGGAUGUAUGAGAUGAUCAUGUUGUAAUAAUUAAAUAUCGACUUGCACAUCGAUGCUACGGCAACCGACACGAGCCAUAGGGUUGUAUUUAAUUAUUUUGUGCUUGGUGAUGCUUUUCUUUAUCGCUAGUAGUAGCUUUAGUAGUAACAUCAUAGUUAGCGCGACAACCUCGAUGGAAGCAUGAUUAUGGAGAUGAUGGUGUGGCGACGGUGACGAUGGAGGUCAUGCCGGUGCUUUGGUGAUGGAGAUCAAGAAGCACAAGUUCAUGGCCAUAUCAUGUCACUUAUGAUUUGCAUGUGAUGUUAAUCCUUCUAUGCACCUUAUUUUGCUUAGGACGACGGUAGCAUUAUAAGGUGAUCCUUCACUAAAAUUUCAAGAUAAAAUUGUUUUCUCCCCGACUGUGCACCGUUGCGAUAGUUCGUCGUUUCGAGACACAAAGUGAUGAUCGGGUGUGAUAGACUCUACGUUCACAUACAACGGGUGCAAAACAGUUGUACCACGCGGAACACUCGGGAUAAACUUGAGGAGCCUAGCAUGUACAGACAUGGCCUCGGAACACAAGAGACCGAAAGGCCGAACAUGAAUCAUAUAGUUGAUAUGAUCAACAUGGAGAUGUUCACCAUUGAAACUAAACUCAACUCACGUGAUGAUCGGACUUGAGUUAGUGAAUUUGGAUAAUGCGACACUCGAAUGACUAGAGGGAUGUCAAUUUGAGUGGGAGUUUAUUAGUAAUAUGAUUAGCUAAACUCAAUUAUCUUAAACAUAGUCUAAGUAAUCUUUGCAAAAAUUUAUGUUGUAGAUCAAUGGCUCGCGCAGUAGAAACCCUUAAUUUUAAUGCGUUCCUAGAGGAAGCUAAGCUGAAAGAUGAUGGAAGAAACACUGUUGACUAUGCCCGUAAUCUGAGGCUUAUCCUCACGGCUGCCCAAAAGCAAUAUGUCAUUGAUGCAGCACUAGGUGAUGCUCAAAGAGAGAUAAAUUGCCAUCCAGGUACUGGCUAUGGACCCGUAGGUCUGUGGUGAUCCACUUACAUAUCAUCAUGAGGGCAUCAAGGUUGAUGAAGAAGCCCUCGGUGAUCGAUCCGACCUCUGGCAGAGUGCCGAGACAGAGCUCUAGAUGGACCCCCGUCAGAACAGAGACUUGUGGCAGCGUAAAAAGUGUUUCCGGACCUCCGUCGAUGUUUUAGGAUAGAUGAGAAUUUAUAGACUAGAGAACAGAGUCGGGAGAGCCGCGAGGGGGCCACAAGCCAUUAGGGCGCCCCCUGACCGCGCCCUGUUGGCUUGUGGGGCCCUCGUGCACCCUCGUGCCUCCUUUCGAUGCUCCACGGUCUUGUUUUAGUCCAGAAAAAAAUCACAAAAAGUUUUAGGUCAAUUGCACUUCACUUGGUACUAAACCGUAAAAAGUGGAAAACACGCAGAAAACAACAACUAGCACUUGGCACUGGGUCAAUAGGUUAGUGCUCAAAGAUAAUAUAAAUUGGUAGAUAAUUAGUUCAUAAAAAAUGUUCUAAAAUGAUAACAUAAUAGCAUGGAACAAUCAAACAUUAUAGAUACGCUGGAGACAUAUCAUUGUACCGCUCGCUAGGGUUUUCUGCAUGGUACUUGUGUGCACUGAUUGUACCGGUGCACGAAGAGGUUGUACUGCUGUAGUGUAAAAACCGUUGUAACAGUUGAAUUUGGGGGCACUAUAAAAGGGGAUGGUUCUUCCACCGACCUUCUUACCUCUUACCUCUCUCUUUCUCUCUCUUUCCUUCAUUAAUGCCCUCCAAGCUUUCUUGCUCGAUCUCUCUUCCACUCAUUAAUGCUAGCAUCAUCGUACAUUUGGAGUCGACACACUUUGCUAGAGGCCGCUACCGGCUAGCCGAGCUGGAUGUGAUCUGACUUGCAACCAAGUGAACGAGAACCUAAGGGGUCGUGCUCUUAAGAGAAGGAUUCUACGAGGUCAUAUACGAGGACACUGGUCGGAUGUGAUCUGAGCUGGACUUAGAUCAUGACCAAGUAGACUUUAGGCUUUAGGAUCCAUGUGAGGCCCAAAAUUGAGACCGCGACGGAUGCCUAUAUAUAAUGGGGGUACCACACACAUAUUCGGUCGAUUGCUUCAGCAUCGUCAUUAGGGCGUUGCAUGUGUUAGAACCACCCACCUCCACUCGCCGCCGGUUGUGUGAUCGGACCUAGCAGUCCGCCACAUGACGUUCCUCCUGCACGUGCGAAUACCGUUAGAGGUGGUGCAGUUGCGCAGCUCCAACGAAGUUGUCCACGGGAUUCAGCGGACGACUGUUUGAGAGACCGGACGAGGAGGGGGCAACUCCUGGGACGCGCUAGCACCACUAUUCGUCCACUACAUUGCGCUCUAGUGGUAACAAUCUGUGAUUCCUCUCCUUAGCAUGUUCCCGGUUAUACAGUGCAUAGGAAUUUUUUUUAUAUUCCAGCCGAUGCACCUAGCGUAGCCCAACACUAUCCCUCCGUCCCUCCCUUCCUUCCUCUCUCUCUCUCUCUCCCUCUCUCUCUCUCAAACACUUAAUACAUGCAUACUUACAUUAGUUUGAUCAUGUUCAUGUGAUUUAAGGUUAAUUGAAUUUGUGGCACUAUCAUAUGAACAAUGAUGGUGCCAAAUCCAUGGCCUAAAUAAGUUGCAUCCAAAUGUACACGGAAAAUAGUUAGAUAAAAAGUAUGAACACAUCGUAGAACAUAUUACAUCGAGAAUCGAUUAUGGUUCUAUACAUAAAAGAACAAAAAUCUCGUGGUGCAAACUAAACAUACGUUUAUAUUAAUUAAAUGUAUGCACAUUUCGUUCCUGCAAAAGAAAUUUGUCCUAUUCGGAAGAAAAGAAAACAAGUUUUGAAAAAUCAUGUAGCAAUUACUAGAAAGAUUACCAGAGUUGAGAUACACAACUAUGGACGUAGCCAUUUGAGAUUAUCCUGUCACUGUCCACGGACCCGCCCGCAGAUGUAUAUAUGUAGUGCUCCAUUUGGCAAUUGGAGUUGCAGAUGCUCUAACUUCCUUCUUUUUUGUGAACCAUGUGAUGAACAAGCUCUCUCGAAACAGGCUUUCGCCCCGCUUUAUAGAUAAAGCACAACGGCCAGAAUCCAACCCACAUGUUCGAACACAAAAAAUAAAAAAGAGAGUCAGGUGGGGCAACAACACAGUCCAGCCCAAAAUAAAGAGAAGAAACAAAAAAUUCCCACACAGGGGCAAGCUAGGCAGCAAGCAAGGGAGAGGAGAGCCGUCGGGCGGCCGCCAUCAACGCGUCCAGGUAGAGCUGAAGUCGGCCUCGAUCCCGGGUCCUAACGAGCGGAUGCCAAUGCUGCAAGAAGGCAAGGAAUUUGAAGAACGAGUCAGAAGCACGCCGCGGAAACACCUUCUCAAUCAUCAUUUUAUUGUGAGUAGUCUAGAGGGUCCACAUCAUAGCCGCGAAGACCAACCAAAACAGUCGGCGUUUAUGACCGACCUGGGUGGCCCGCACCUGUAGAAAAUCUGCAAGGUCAGAGGCCUCCCACUCUGGUCCCAGAGCCUCGCGUACAAAGCAUCAUAGUGCAUGUGCCGCAACGCAUGAGAACAGAAUGUGAGAGCCAUUCUCCGGGACAUGGCACAGGGGACAUAUGCCGUUACCCGGACCAUGGCGUUUCAGCACCUCGGUCCCUGAAGGUAAACGGUCUCGGAGAAGCUGCCAAACAAAAAUCUUGAUCUUCAAGGGCAGCGGGGCCUUCUAGAGUGGGGAUAACCACGGGAGGACCAGCAUUCUGCACAGGGCCAGGUAUGCCGAACUAACAGAGAAUUCUCCCGAGGGAGAGAGGCUCCAAGAGAUACUAUCACUGACCGCCGAGGUCGAGAGGGGAAUCACUGCCAAGAGUAACUCCCAGUCCAGGACCUCAACAGGGCCAAGGGGUCGGCAGAAUGCAACAUGCCAUCCGUCUUCCAGAGCAGCAGCAGAAACCAGGACAGCAGGGUCGGCGCAGAUAGCAAAGAGCCUCGGGAAACGGAAUCGUAAAAGCUCUCCUUCCAACCAGGGAUCUAACCAAAACUGGGUCCCAGAUCCAUCGCCCACCGAGAUCCCCAAACUCAACCUAAUCUCGUGCUUAAUGCUCUGGAUAGACUUCCAGAACUGCGAACCAUUCGCGAGAGAGCAUGCCAAGAGUGGUCUGCCUCGAAGGUAUUUGGCCUUAAUCAAUUGAAGCCACAGACCCCCAUCUCCGUGCAGAAUCCGCCAAACCCAACGGAGCAUCAGGGCCACGUUCAUGAGGCGGGACGCAGGAAUGCCUAGGCCCCCUCAGUCUUUUGGCAAGCAGAUGUCUGCCCAUUUCACCAUGUGAUACUUGGGCCUACCAUUCCCUGCCUGCCAAAAGAAUCUAGCCAGUUCCUUGUCAAAGGCGUUGUGCACACCUUCGGGCAGGAUAUACAACCCCAUCAUAUACAUGGGGAGGCUAGCGAGGUUAGAGCUAAUGAGGAUGGAUUUGCUGCCUUUAGAAGUGAACCUGCCGCACCAGGGUUCCACACGGGAUGCUACUCAUCCCACAAGCGGAUCGAACCCGCUAACCAGAAUCCUGGACUCCGCCAGGGGCAUUCCCAAGUACGAGAUAGGGAAAGAAGCCAGCUUGAAGUUAAGGUUGUCUGAAUCCUGUGAUGCUCAGCCUCAGAGUAGCCGAGGACCACCACCUCACUCUUAUCAAAGUUAAUCUUAAGUCCAGACAUUUCCUCGAAGCAGAGCAAAAGGAACUUAAGAUUGGCAAUGUCCGAGUCCGAGCCUGAGACCAUGAUCAUGGUGUCGUCUGCAUAUUGGAGGUGUGACACCCCACCCCCCGGGAUGAGGUGACCAACCACCCCCUGGAUAUGCCCGGCUAAUCUCGCCUUAUCCAGGAUGCCGGCAAGGGUGUCCACGGCGAGAUUAAACAGCAGGGGGGAGAUAGGGUCCCCUUGCUUUACCCCCCUGGAAGCCCAAAAAAAGGGGCCUAGUUCACCAUUGAUAUUGAUGGCGGUGCUACCAGAUCGAACCAGCUGCAUAAUCCAGGUGCACCACCUCUCGUCAAAUCCGCGCCGCUGCAACACUAACCUCAAGAAGGACCAACCAAGACGGUCAUACGCCUUAUGGAAGUCCAAUUUGAGAAUGACCCCCUUCAAUCCCUUGGACGCCACCUCAUGGACAAUCUCGUGAAGGGCAAGAAUUCCGUCAUGAAUCUUCCUACCCUUCAGGAAUGCGGACUGAAGGGGGUGCGCAAUCCGUUCGGCCACAGGGGACAGACGAGUGGCGCAGACUUUAGCAAAAAUACGCGCCACCAUGUUAAUCACCGUAAUAGGCCUAAAUUGCCGAAUCUCUGCAGCCCCAAGUAGUUUGGGGAUGAGGGCAAUGACUCCAUAGUUAAUCCUGCCCAUGUCCAGAGUGCCUAUAUAGAAUUCAUGGAACAUGGGCAUGAUAACUGGGUGCACGGUCUCCCAGAAUUGCUGGAAAAAACCACCGGGAGGCCGUCUGGCCCCGGGGUCGAGCACACCUUCAUAGAAGCGAUUGUCUGGCCAACUUCCUCCGAGGAAAAUGGGAGAGUGAGUUCCGCAUUCUCCACGUCGGACACCUGAUCAGCUAGCGGCCAGAAGUCCUCACAGAGAGAGGAGCCUCCCCGCAGAUCGGCCGAGAAUAACUCCUUAUAGAAGGAGUAAAUAUGGGAUGAGAUGUCUUCCGGCUUUCCAGAACAGCAUCCCCAUCCCGGAGGAAAGGGAUGACACAUUUCCGCCUUCGGCCGUUGGCGAUGGCCUGAAAGUACGCGGUGUUUGCGUCCCCCUUGAGGAGCCAGUUCUGGCCACCUCGACGUUGCCAGAACAGUUCCUCGGAGCUGAAGAUGCCCAUGAGCUCAGCGUCGAGGGAUUAUGUCUGGAUCCAGUCAUCCGGGGACAGACCUGUACCGUCCGCCAAGUCAUCUAGGGUCUUAAUCUGGCCUAGCAAGGCCCCUUUACGGGCCCGGAGAUCAGCGCCCAAGUUAGCACCCCAGCCCUUCAUGGCCUGGCGCGCCAUCUUGGCACAGUGAUGCCAAAUGUCCACCGCACAAUAGACACGCGGCGGGGAGGCGGCAGCCCAAUGCCACUGGUCGCGGACCAACUCGCGGAAACCAGGCUGAUCCAACCAAAAAGUCUCAAAGCGAAAGCGCCGUGAUCUAGGGGGGAGCCUUCCCCCGACGAGAAGAGCAGGGGCGUAUGGUCUGAGCCAAUCUGCGUGAUGGCCCUAAGCCCGCACAGGAGGAACAUCACUUCCCACUGAGGCGACACAAAGACCCGGUCUAGAACACUCCGGACGGGGUCCGCCUGCUUGUUCCACCACGUGAACCUGGCCCCUACGCGAGCUAUCUCACGUAGCGCCAAGUCUGCAAUGCAGUCAUUAAAAAGACGCAUCUGGGGUCGAUCUACAUUCUGAGAGCUUUUAUCAGAAGCCCACCUAAUAAAUUAAAAAUCACCAGCCACCACUACAGGGGUGGUGCACCUAUCCACCUUAUUCUUUAGCUCGGCGAGGAAUUCUGCGGAGCGGGCAUGGUCUGCCGGACCAUAGACAAUAAUCACCUCCCAGCUGAGGUGGGUACGUCGGUCGGUGAUGGCCAUGCUCACAAUGAACUCCCCCCGGUCCAUGUCCUCCACCGAGAACGCCUCCUCCCGAACACCAAGCAGGAUUCCCCCAGAGUGGCCCGAUGCAGGGAGCCACUGCCAGGAGAACUGGUGGCGGGAGAGCCUCUGAAGCUCGAGCAUGCUAAAGUCCUACCGAAUCGUUUCUUGCAGCCCUACUAUGUCAAUCUCUUCUUGACGCAAAUACUCAACAAGUUGCCGCCGCCGGCCAGGGAGGCCGAAGCCCCUAAUGUUCCAACAUAGGAGCUUCAUUUAACAAUCUCGCCUGGAUUUCUAGGCCCCGCAAGCGGGGCCGAACUAGCCCGCCCGUCAACCUCGAGGCGGGGGAGCGCCUUAGAUGGACGACCCCGGUGUCCCCGAGAAGAGGGGACAUCGGAGGUCGCCGGGCCAGAGGAGGGAGCUCCGGGGCCUGACACUCGCUCCUCUCCACGUGUCUCAGUGGGGUUGAGACGGGUAGGCGGCCGCCCCCUGGGCUUCCGGACAGAGGGAAGCCCACCUAUGGGCGGCACAGGACCAACUGCAACCGCUGCCGGAGGUGCGCCACCAGCCCUGGUCUCUCUAUGACCAGGACCGGCGUGCACCGGGGGAGAGGGGGAGUUGGAGCGCGCGGCGAGACAGCGCGCUUCCGCUAACACCCCCUCAAGCCUCUCUUUCGCACAGAGGGCGGAGAUAUGCUCAAGAGGGGGACCUUUCUCCCCCCGAAACACAAUACUACUGUUCGCAGCCACAACAGCCAAAAGGGGCACCAAAUCGCUAGAGAGAACAGAAAACCAAGAACCAGAGCCAGAAGGGGGAGGAGAGGAGGCGUACCUGGGAACAGAUCGCGGGCCGCAGCACGCCGGGCCGCCAGCUCAGGCAUCGUCGGGACGCGGCCGUCCUGAAGGGUCCGGGACUGGCUGAUCCGAGCGCUCUGACGUGCCGACACGAUGGGGGAAGUGCCCUCCCGAGGCCGAGAGCGGGGCACAGGAGGGUACUCGGGCGCCCAACCAGGGUUGACGACCACCGGAGGGCGCGAAUCCGGGGACCCCAAGGUUGGGGAAGGGGGGAACUCGGAGAGCACGAGUAGCAAACCACCCCUGGCGAGCGCGGGGACGAAGCAGGGCAGACCUCCAUACCCACACUCACCUCCUCCUCAGCAGCGACCACCGGGAUAGGGGAAGCAGGGAGAGUGAUCUCCAUGCCUACCACCACCACCGGCGCCAAAGUACCCACCGUGGAGCCUCCUGCGAGCCCCGACUGGCCAACACCCGAGGGGGCGGGGGUGCGCCGACCGCCAGAUGGCUCGGGCGGAGCCCCGACCGUAUCAUCGUCCCCCUCAGAAGAAGGCCCCUCCUCCGACGAGCCCCCCUCCUUGUCAAGACCCCCGUCGGCAGGCUCCAGCCCAGGCGGGACCGGAUCUAGCUGAGCCGCUGAAGCCGGGGACUCGAGCUCGAAGGUCAGACGCCUGCCCUUGGACCCAAAGUAGAAGACCAAAGACAACCCGUCAAUCUCAGCAGGAGCCGGGCAGAGAAUCUCAAUGCGGGCAGGGCCAUCAUCCUCGAAAGAUGCCAGGUCGGCGGUGAUCAGUUUGCCCAUGGGUUUAGAGAUGGCUUUCAGAAUAUGACUGAGCUUGCCACCCCGCGGAGCCGCACUGCCCCCCCUUGGGAGGCCAUAGACGAGGACCCAAACCUUCUCCAAGGGAGGGACGGGGUCAGGCUCUGACAUGGCCGCCUGGACGCUGAUCGGGAGCUGGUUGAGGGGACACCGGAUAGGACCAUGCGAGCAGACCCGGAGUAGCUCGGCCGAGGGGAAGGGGACCGAGAAGACCAGGGGAGCCGUCUCAGUCACCUCCCAUGCGAACUCAGAGCCGCGAAAGUCGCCAAUGUAGGCCGCAAGCUCAUCCUGGAUGAGGUCAGACGAGAUCACCAGGCCAUCCGGGAUAGGCUGCUCGGGCUCCAAGGUGACCGUCGCUAGGUGAGGACGAGCAGCUACCUCCUCAAUCUCCGCAUCCACGAAGUAGAAGCUUCCCCGCUCAGUGCCAUACCCAAGAUAGGCAAGAAUCGUGGGGCACCGUGGGGGAGCCUCACACUCCGAGCGGUAGUGCCCGGUGCACCCGCAGUUGAUGCACAUCGUGUCCUCGCGGGAGCGCUGGCGGGUAGCACGAGCAGGGGGUCUAGAGCCUCAUGCUCAGGAGCCCCCUGAGCUCCUGGCGACGUCAGGCCGCCAGCACCGCCAACAGCCUUCUUCUUCUUCGACUUCAUCUUCUUCUUAACCGGGGUCGGGCGGGAAGCGGAGCAGCAGGCAGGGCAUCUGGGGACACGUGCCUAGAAGGCCCGUCGUCCCGGCACCAGUCCGCACCCGUCGCCCGAGAGGAGCGCCAGUCAGCCCGACGUCCAUCAUCACCGCGCCGCAUUGGCGGCCCGCCCCACCGCUCCCCCGGGCGGUGGUCCUGGCGAUCACGGGGCGGCCCGCCCCACCGCUCCCCAGGAAGGCGCCGCGGGGCGGUGAGCGAGGUCCCGAGCCGGGGGGUAGCGGGGCGCUGGCUCCUCACACGGCUGAGAUGCCGGAGUGGGGCGAGCAACCAACUCUGCACACAGAGUCGCUUCCCGGUCCAGGUCGGCCGCGCGGGCGGCCUCCAGGCGGCGACGGUCCCCCGGCGAACCCGGCAACGGCAGGCGGGGAUCCCUCUCCGGAUCACGAGGGGGAGGCGGACGGCGAAGGGAGGUCCCGGAGUAGUACUCCGGGGACUUCCCCGGCCGGGCAGACCCACCGCGCCCGGAACGGGACGAGGCAGCACCCCCUUCCAUGGCACGGUCACGGGCGGCGGGCAGCGCCUUCAACACCGCGCGAGCCUGGUCACGAGAGGUUGGCGUAGGGAGGAGCCCCUGCCCAGCCGGGAGAGGCCGCUUCGGUCGGGCCUGGCCGUUCCCGGCGUGGCGUGUCAUGAGCACGUCCCGGUAGGAGCGCCGUGGGGAGGGGAUGGGGAGCAGGUCCGGGCGCCGGGCAGCAGACGAGGGCGCGUCGCCGGCAGUGCAGGCGAGGACGGACGAGGUGGAGGGAGCUCUAUGGCUGACGGGACGGGGCGAGCGGGGCCUGGGGAACGGCCGGCGGGACGGGGCGAGCAGGGCCUGGGGAACGGCGGGGACGUCCGCGCCCGACGGGAGAGAGCGAGAGGAAAGGGAGCGGGAGCCCGACCGGAGAGAGCGAGAGAAACGGGAGCGGGACGGGGCGAGGCUGCGAGGUGGCGGUGGCGCACGCUCGGCAGGGUAAACCCUAUCCCCGAGCCGGUCCUCCCGACGCAGGCCUGGGCCGGGACGCGAGCAUGGGGGAGGCCCAGGUGGGCAUCGGCCCACUGCCGGUUAACCUUCUCCAGGACUCGGGAGACGCGGCGGGAGGCCCAGGCCAUCUCGCUAGCUGAGAUGGGCCCAGGCCCCGUUCGCAGCGGCCCAUGGGGAGAGCCGGCCCAUCCGUCCGCCAGCCGGCCAGGGGAGUUAGGGCAUGGGGGAGGGGACUGACGAGGCACUCGGGCACCUCCCGCUGCCGCCGGCACCGCCGCCGCCGCCACAGGAGGCAGGGCACCAGCGCCUGGUCGGGGCUCGCGGGGGCCCUCUCCGGCGACCGCCAUGGGGGACAACCCAGGCAGCAAACCGGCUCGGGCCAAGGAGGGGAGAGGGGGAACCACAGGGGGACAGUGCACCGGCGACCGCCGCCCGACCUCCUUCCCCGGCCGCCGGCGGGCAGGGCGCGCCGCAGCCAGGAACGAGCCGAGCAGCGGCGGUGCCAGGGACACCGGCAGCUCCAACCGGUCAUCACCAUCCGAAGAGGCCUCCAUGUCAUCGGGGUCGGGAUCGUCCGUCCAGUCCGCCCAACGUCGCGGCGACCGUUGGAAGCAGAGGGAGGGCGCCCCCGGCGGGGGAAGCGGGGGCAUCGCGCUCACGCAGCACGCCGGCCGACCGCCGUCAGCGGGCACCGCGCAGCUUCAGGUCUCGGCCCGCCGGAGAGGAGCCGCCCAUCGCUUCUUCUCUUCAGGAAUCUAGUCGCCGGCCCACAAGUGGGGUGAUGAACAAGCUAAUGCGAUUUAAAGUAAUCAUACCUCGUCCUAAGAAAUUAAAAGUGAAUUCAUACUGUGCAGCUAGAAAAAGAAUCAUAAAAGUAUACAAGCGCAUGUGAAAAGAAAAAGAUGAACAACUUGCCACUUCAUAUAGGUGAUCUAAUUAACUAAUUUAGGGUUCGAAUAACUUUGUUUCCCCACAAUCAUGACAAAGUGAACCUUUUGUUGAAAGCCGGAAUUCUGCAAUAAAGCUGCAAUGGUAGAUCUAUUUUUAUCAGGGAAUCUACCAUGCUGAGCUGCUGCACACAAGGCGUUCUCACUCACGAGUCGCAAAAAAGAGUUGGUGAGUUAUUAAAAAAGAAGACAAAGAGGACGAGUGAGUUGCACCAAAAUUAAAUACUUCCUUCAUUUCAAAAUAAAUGUCUCAAUUUUAUACUACCUCUAGUAUAAGAGCAUGGUUAAUAGUAUAGUCAACUGCUGGCUAUAAGCUAUCUUAUAGCCUAUCUUAUAGCUAGCUUGUACAAUAGUUAGCUAUAAAAGAGUACUACUUUUAUUCUAUAUGGCCCACCUUUCAUUUUCACAAAGCACCUACGAGCACGUGCUAGAGCUGGCUCUUUACGAAGAGCCCGCUUCCCUUCUCACUCCUAUUCUCUCUCAUCCAACUCAGCAAAAAUACAGUAUUUUAAUCCUUACAGCCUGCUGACUGUACCUUAUUGUACUUGCUCUAAAGUUGUACUCCCUCCGUUCCAAAAUAUAAGACCUUUUAGAGAUUUAUUAGAAGACUACAUACGAAGCAAAAUGAGUGAAUCUAUACUCUAAAAUAUGUCUAUGUACAUCCGUAUGUAGUUCAUAGUGCAAUCUUUAAAAUGUCUUAUAUUUAGGAACGGAGGGAGUAUUAAGUUUGAGGCGGUUAUAUUGAGACGGAGAGAGUACUAGAUAUACGUAAUCUGAAAUAGUGGAGUACCAAAAUUAUAGGCCUCUAUGAUUAGGAGGAUUUUCAUAAAACAUUUGGAAAGUUGUGAUACUUGAGAAUUUUUCCUUUAUCGCUUAUCUGAUUCGUAGAUUGACUCCUAUAGGAUUUUCUCCUAUGGAUUCCCUUUGACUGCACAUUUCAUGAAAAAAAACAUUAGUUUGCCAUGAUAAUUUUUCACCAGGAUGCACAAAAAAUGAACUAGUUCUGAAAGGUUUAUUGGCUUCAUUUGGAUUUACUUAGAAUCAGCUCAUAUUAGCAAUAAUUAAAGAUGGCCGAACGAUGGCGCCGUCUCCCUCCCGACCCGGGGCCGCAUGCAGCCCCUCUCCCUCUGCCCCCCUCCUCCUGUCGGUGCCCUCGGAUCUGGUCCGGGUGGUGUUGGCGGUGGCGGGAUCUCCAUUACCUGUGCGCGGACGUCCUUCCCGAGGCAGGGGAUCGACGGUGGUGCGGCUCGGCCUGCUGUGGUCCGACGACCUAGAGGUGGUGGCCGGCAGCCGACGUGGUGGUGGCGCUGCUCCUUGGCGGCGGGGUGGCCUAGCGGCACGGGGUGGCCGGCUGCACGACCCCGGGCCAGAUCAGGGCCCAUAAGGCCUCAUCUAGGUCCUAGGGGACUGGCUCUGGCAUGGACUUGCUGCCUCCUGUACAGGGAUGAGGAGGGGCGGGUUGAAAGGGGGGCCGCGAUGCCGACGGUGUGCUUUCUGCAGCGCGAUGGCAGGAGCUUUAUGGGUAUUUGUGGGGCCAUGAGCCUGGUUUGCUCCUGCCGAUGUGUCCGGUCGGUUACUGUCGUUGACGAUGGAAGUCGGACCCUCCCGCAGGCCGCCGGUGUUGCUUCCCCUAGUCCCGACUCUUCUUCUUCGAUGUGCAGGCCUCACUUCUCGGUGUCCUGGUGAGACAGUGUGGGUCGCUUCAAGAUUGUGCUUGCGCAGGGCGGUGGGUGGUAUGGUGGAGUCCUCCGGAACGCCCGUGGUGAUGCGUGGGGAUCGGGACGUACAAAUCCUUGUCGGCCUGUUCGACACCGACACGGUGACGCCUGAGGGUGUCGACGGACCUUCCUGGAGGGUGUCGGGUGCUACCCUUUCUUUGUCCUCGUUGUGUAUCGGGGGAAACCCUUGGCAGCAGCGCAGUCAUCGUCGUGUCCCUUCUUGGAGGUGUUGAUUGGUAUCGGCGCUUCGAAGGCUAGGAUCUUGGUGGAAGAUCUUCGAUGGGCGCAACGAUCGCGGGGCCUCUUCAUUUUUGUCGAUCCAUCAUUGUUGGCAUCUAUUCCUUUUGCAUUUUCUUUUUCCCUUCCUUUUGGACGUGAUUGUGAUGUCUCCGUCCCAGCACUUAUUGAUGGAUAUAUCGGGCAUUUGCUAUAUUAAUAUAGCGAGGCGAACGCGUGCUUCGAAGAAAGAUGGACGAACUUACCAACCAUAUUACUUGUGCUUAUUUAUUUUCUUCUGUUACAACGCACAAACAUAUUUGCUAUUUGAACUAAAUCACAUUGCCAAUUGCUCGUCUAUCAUGUCAAAUCAGAACCACGCAUCUAACCCUCCCAAGAUGUAGAUCGAUCGGUUUUACUCGGCAUUCAUUAUGGAUCGGAGGGAGUACUCCUAGAUCAUAUUCAAAAUUGCUCCACGCCACAAAUAAAACUGCACGGUACAUAUGGUAAAUCUGGGAAAGUGAUUUGCGUGGUAUGUGUGCCAUAAUCAACUGAAUUAUUGGACUAACCGCAUCAAGAUCGGAUCACAUCGAUCCUAUCCCCGUCGACGAGACUGUCCUCGAAUCAAAAUAUUUCUCCAAUGGACGCUCGUGUCCCACGCUCUGAAAGCGACGCCUUUUGUUUUGUCAGUUAAUUUUCACGUCAAGCUCACACCCACGCACGCACCGUGUAGGAUCCACGGCUCGACGCACCUCCCCUUCCCUCCCCUUCUCCCUAUUUAACGAGCUAGCCACCCCCACGCUUUUUGCACCUCAGCAAGCACCAACACACACACACACACAAGAAAUGGCGAUGGCUAGGACGACGACGCUCCUCCUCGUCGCCGCAGCUCUCCUCGCGGCCUCAUGCAGCGCAUGGGAGGUCAACAUCCGCAUGCCGACGUCGGCGGCGGACGUGGACGAGGCGGUGGUGGCGCCGCUGAUCCACGCGCUGCGGCCGCUGCUGGGCUCCGGCAAGCACGCCGGAGUGGCGUGCGACAGCUGGGUGCUGGGGGUGGAGGCGCACAACGUGCGGGACUGGAAGACGGUGCCCGCGAGCUGCGAGGGCUACGUCGGGCACUACAUGCUCGGCAGCCAUUUCCGCCGCGACUCCAAGGUCGUCAUCGACCAGGCCCUCGCCUACGUCGACUCCCUCAAGCUCGCCGGCAACGGCAAGGAGGUCUGGGUCUUCGACAUCGACGAGACCACCCUCUCCAACCUCCCCUACUACGCCAAGCACGGCUUCGGGUACGUACUUACACUCUUGUAUACAUUACAUAGACACUACUGAUUCUACGUGUAGUGCAUGCAUUAGACUUGCUAUUUACUGCAGGUACAUCCGACCGAGCAGGGACUUGCACUCAUCUUUUCACUAAGAUGAAGUGUAAAUAAUCUGACUAGAUAUAUAUUGUAAAAAAUCAACUCACUAGCUAGCUAAAAAAUACCAGCGAGAUCUGUAAUGAAUGAAAAUUGGAAAGCACAUAAGGAUAGAAAUAUUGGAAAUAAAAAGGAAUAUAAUCACUAAGUAGAAAAGUACUUUAAUCACAAGUGUUGGACACUUGGACAUCAUCAUUGCCAGUAGGACUCGGGCCAUAUGUCCCUAGUAUGAAUGGCCAACAAAACAAGAAGGAAACAUACUAUAUUUUGAGAUAGAGAUGUGAUGUUGAUGGGCAUGCGAAUGUGGUGGCCGGGUAGGACCGUAUAUGUUGUCCACUUGGCUACUUUAUGGAAAUGUUCUAAUUAUGUUAUGCUAGUCAACUCAUACUUUCUAAUUAUGUCAUACUUUUGUACACAUACACACUAUUGUAGUGCAUUAUACUCCCUCUCUAUCUAAAUACUUAGAGUUCGAAAGAACUAGGUGCAUUUCAGCAGGGGCUUGCACUGAUCUAUUCGUUCAGAUAAAAUAAAUAUCUUACUAGACCUCGUUCAAAUGAACUCACUAGCUAGAAAGCACUAGUAUCAUAAGAUUUCUAAUGAAUGAAAGUGGGAAAACAAAUGAGACUAGAAGUGGAAACAAGGAAUAUACUCACUAGCUAGAAAAGUAUUAAUUGGACGUGUUGGACACACUUAGGCAGCAUCAUUGCUGGUUACCUCAAAUCAGUCACAGAGACGGCCAUCAGGACCAUAAAUAUGUCCCGCCUAUGAAUGGUCAACAAAACAAGAAGGAAACAUAGUACUAUAGUUUGAGAAUAUGGUGGCCGGGGUAGGACCGUAUAUGUUCUCCACUUGGCUACUUUAUGGAAACGUUUAUUUCCAGCUGUCCUUAUCAGCCGAUACGUUCUAAUUAUGUUAUGCUAAUCGAUUGAUAUUUUCUGAUUAUGUUAUGCUAAACUUAGUUCAGAUGGAUAGUACUCCGAUACGUUUUCAUUAUUUUAUGCUAAUCUGAGUUUAGAUGGAUAUAAUUACUUAUUUUAGAAGAUGUGAGAGGUCAGAACAUCUUGUGCAUAGUUAGUAGUUACAUGCUACUCCCUCCGUUCCUAAAUACAAAUCUUUUAAAAGAUUUCACUAGUGGUCUACAUAUGAAGCAAAAUGAAUGAAUUUAUACUAUAAAAUAUGUUUAUAUACAUUCAUAUGUAUUACUCUAACCUCUAAAAAGAUUUAUAUUUAAGAAUGGAUGGAGUACAACUCUAUUCCUCUUUUCUCAAAUAGUUGAACACUAUUCCUCUUAGUUAAGAAGAUUCUCUUGAACCAAGAUGGAAACUAACUUGAAAUGUAGUAGAAGUCUAGGUGAUAUCUAGCCAACAUGAUGAUACCAGUUUAGUUCAAAACAUGAUUAACUAGCUCCGGAUAGCUUGCUUGUGUAUAUUUUGAAUGUGAUGAGGGAGCUAGUUCGUUGUGAUUUAAAAUAAACUGUACCUUGCCGUAAGAACUUUAAAGUGGAUCUACACUGGGCGGCUGGAAAAAGAUACAUAAAAGUAUAUAUAUGCGCAUCAAGGAAAAAAGAAAGAUCAAAAGCUUAUAACAGCAUGUCUAACUAAUCGAGCGGUUCAAAUAACUUUGUUUCAUCACAAUCAUGACAAAAUUAACCUUUUUUGUUGAAAGUCGGAACUCUGCAAUAAGGUUGCAAUGGUAGACCUAUUUUACCAAAGGAAUCAACAAAGCUGAGCUGCUGCGUACAAAGCUGUGCACGAUGAGAUUAAAUACUACAACUGCGUUUUCGGUCCAACAAAACAGUAGCGUGAUGAUGCCGGAGUGAACCUCGCUAUGUCACAUUCAUUGAUUUACUCCACUUGACCAACUUAAUUUACGACGUCCACAACUACGUACUGCUCAUGCACGUGCGUUACGUACAGAUACAGAGCAUCAUUGCGUUUACGUAUUGCCCAUCCCCUUGGCCAUUUGGCCACUUGGGCCAUAAUCUAGGUUGCCUAUGUUCCUUGGAUAUGCAUAAUUACUACUACUUCUUAGUAGCUGAUAUGAUUGAAUCUGCCAUUAAUCUAUCCUCGUAUACAUGUGCGUGCAGGGCUACACCGUUCAACGCGACCAGCUUCAACGCAUACGUGCUACAGGGGAGCGCGCCAGCCCUGCCGGAGACGAAGCGGCUGUACAACAAGCUGCGCUCGAUCGGCGUCAAGCCGGUGUUCCUCACCGGCCGGACUGAGGACCAGAGGGCCAUCACCGUCACCAACCUCCGCCGCCAGGGGAUCUCUGGGUGGAUGAACCUCUUGCUGAAGCAACCCGGGUUCAAGGGCUCUGCGGUGACCUACAAGUCCGGCGAGAGGCAGAAGCUGCAGGACGCCGGGUAUGUCAUCGUCGGUAACAUCGGCGACCAGUGGAGCGACAUCCUCGGCGCGCCAGAGGGUGCCCGCACCUUCAAGCUGCCCGACCCCAUGUACUACAUCGGCUAGGCCGCCUCUGGCUCGGCCGGGCAUGCUGCCAUUGAUUUCUCGAAUAAGCUCCAUGCUCUUAGUUAUAUGCAUGUUUCGUCAGAUAAUCAAUCCCCAAUUGUUGCUUGGUUCAUUUCCAUUGUUGAGAGCUUGAGAUCAAUUGCUACUAUGAAUUAGACGUGUAAGUGGAGAUGUUGCAUGCUGCUUAAUCAAUGGAUCUUUGUUAUGUUGUUUUUCUUUUUGCUCUAUUACAAGGAAUCCAUGGGCAUUAUUACUAUUUGAUAUCUUGUUCUUAAGUCUUAACUUGGAACUUAUAUUGCUGGUGGUAGAUUUUUCUGUACUAAAUUCUGCAUAUGGUGUAUUAAAUAUCAGGGACACAUAAUAUUGUCACACAUAUGGAAUCACUACUGCUAAAAUGACCAGUUCCUGAACCCAUCUGCUAUUGGGCCCAUUUUGGCCCGUCGGAGGAAGGGAUCAUCGUCGGUGGACAGGCAAAGAAGUGCUCGCAUAGACUCCUUCAAAAAAUGUGCCCUCAUAGACGACGGGUAUUUUCCACUGAUGUUGCGCAACUGGUGAUUGCAAUGUAGUUUGUGUCUUGCAUGUUGUAUGCAUAUGUAAUGAAUGUAACAUCUAAUAGUUAAUUAUGCAAGACAAAUAAAGCCCACCCUUUUCAGUAAGUUUAGAGCUAGAUUUGAGUUUGUCUUGGUCUCAUUUUUCUAAACAUACAAUCCUGGAGACAACUCGGUGAAGAAAUGAUGGUCCAAAUAGGUGUCUAACACGAAUCGUCAUCAAAGAAACCCUAUGGGAACCCACACUAUUCUAGUUACUUGGAUGAUUUGUAAUGAAAGAAAUAUAUGUGUCUUCCAAGUUAUUUUGACCAUGCCAAACAACAUCCCUGCUAAGAUAAAAAACGAUGUGGAGACUUGGAUAAAGGCCGGGCGAAGGAUCUGGGAAACAUUAUGCCAGGAGAGUAGUUCCGUUCUAUUAAUUUAUCCUUGGAUGACGUUUCGCGGAGAGAGGGGAGAGGGCGACCUGGGCGAUCUGGGAGCGUCGGGGGCCGCCGUGGGCAUCGUCGGAGAGGGGGAACAUCGGUACUCCUCCUCCGAUCUCGCAUCCCAGGCGCGGCGCCGGAGCCCGAUCUCGGCGGUGGAGGGACCUACUGUCCGUGUCCGAUGGAGAGUUGCGUACUCAGAGGCUGGUUAUUCGGAUCUGCGUGAGGGGCAGAUUGUUUUUCAUUCGGUUUCUCGUUGGAUGACACUACGGGAUGACGACGACGACAUCCUCGCCGGCUGCCAUCUCCAAGAGGAAGAUCUCAUCUGCGAAGGUGCGCAUUUCAUGGUGGAUAUCUUUUCUGUUACUUGUAUUUCUCCUUUCCUGCAGGUGAAUUCACAAGAACGGAUGCAGCCUGAUUUGGUGGACAUAUCUGACGAUGAUAAGAUCGCCUCACCAAGACUUCUCCCUCGAGUUGGGGGGAGGUUUUGGGUACUGGCUAAAGAUGAAGACGACGAGAACCACGACAUUGCCGUAGCACAGGAGGUCUCUGCUCCUUUCUGCGACCAGGUUUUCCAUCCGGCCACGAGGGAUUUUAUUCAUGCAUUGCCUGAUUCGAAGGUCGUUAAGGUAGUUCAACGCAAGGAGCGAUUGGCGAUUAAACCUUGGAGCGGUCCUCUGCCUAAGGUUCAUCUCGAACCAUUGCGGAUCUCGGACAUCAUACCUUGAGAGGCUUGGACUACUGUUUUGCCUAAGAGGAAGAACAAGGGUAAGAGCCGUAAAUUGCAGACGUCAGUCCCUGACAAGGUGCUGUCGUCCCGUGAUUCUCGCGAAUUACGUUUGAACGAGCCGAUGGCUGUUGUCGGGCCGUUGGGACCGGCGCUCGAGUUGGGCUUAAAAGAAACUGGGUAUAUGGCCCAGAUAGACUCCAAUCUAGCAAAACCUGCAAGUCCUACACCUACGGCUGCCCAGAUUUGCCUUGACGAGAAUCAUCAGGACUUGGUUUCUACGUCAAGUUUGCAUAUACCGAGUUCGGCUCUGCCUAGGGUUCCACGACGGCGUUUGCCUGGCUUCCCUUCGCUCGGGCCGGGUCGUGCAGUACGGGUUCCAGCGCUGCGGUGCAUGGCGGGGCGGGGAAACAAGCAGGCGCUGCCUCCCCCUCGACCACCGGCGGUUUCCCAGGCUGUGGGGCGGACUAGGCAGCAGCCCGUGAUGCCGCCAGGGCGCCAGACGGGCCAGGCUUCGGCUGCACCGGUUCCCGCUGCUGGUCAGGGUUUGCCCAACGCGGCUCGGGCGGAUACUAACAGGAUGCAGCCGAGAGGUCGAUGGGGGGAUGAUGGUGUUAAUGCAUAUGGUGAUGGACAGCACCGUGGAUCCUCUUCGUCUGGAGGAGGACGUGGCUAUGCCUGGCAGAGCAAUGGCAGCGCUGCUAAUGGGUUCGCCGGUCCUCCGGGACAGUUUGUGCCCCGGGUCUCGGGUCCUACUCACCCUAGGGAGGUGGAUAUAAGCAACAUUGGGGAGGGAGAGGUGGUGGCAGGAGAUUGAAGCCGCCCACGCCUCCAGUAGAGGUAGAUGCUGCCAAGACAACGGCGGGAGUACCUUCCAAUGCUCCUAAGGGGAAUACACUGCUGCCACCUGUUUCCGAGGAGGAUCCUUCCUUGGCUGACAAGGGAGUAUCGCUUGCGAAGGCAGAGGGGGGGGGAUAGGCCCUCCAAGUGGGCACGCAAAAAAGAAAAGAUGACAUGCUACCGUUGCAGUGAGACGGGUCAUUUUGUUUCCGAAUGCAGCGCGGAUCUGUGUGACUUUUGCUUAAAGCCUAAGCAUGGCUCAGCUAAGUGCCCCCUUACUGUUGGUCCUAUACAUGUCGUCACUUUAUAUGGGGUUUGCUGCCAAGAGUUGAUGUUCUUUGAAUCUCCCUCUGCUUCAACGUCGUUGCAUGUGCCAGACGCGGCCUAUACGGGGACGGUUACGGUGGCUCGUGGUAAUAUGUCAGCUGAGCAGGUGGUGCAACAGUUGAGGGAUCUUGUUUCAUCAAUGUUUCGGUGGGAACUGGUCCUUAUAGCAGAUAAUGUGUUCAAGGUUGUGUUCCCUACCAAGGAGGACCUAGCUAGACUGCUCAAGUUUGGUAUGUGUCGGGUUCCUAGUACUAGUUGUGUGCUAGAGUUCGAUGCUUGGAAGAAUGAGGAGCCAUAAGGUGUGCCACUUCCUCAGAUUUGGGUUCGUUUUUCAGGGGCCCCGUCAAAGGCUCUAAAUGACUUUCUGGUGACUUGGAGUUUGGGAUCUUUGAUAGGUAAGACUGAGAGGGUGGAUAUGCAAUAUACUCGGGCUAAAGGUGUUGCCAGGAUGAGGGUUAGUGUAAUUGAUAUUGCGCUAGUACCGGAUGAAGUUAUAUGGACUUAUGAUGGAAUGCGGUACACCUUGCAACUCGAGAUCGAGAGUCCGGAUAUGUUCGAGGAGGAUGGGACAGACAAAGAUACCGAUAUGGCUGACGGAGAUGAUGCUUCGGGUUCUAGGGAAUCUGAUAAGAAGGAUCAACAGCCAGUUAUUACAAAGAUGGUGGAUCAACCUACCUCAGGUUCUGCUACAGGGGCUGCUCAACCAGUGUCUCUUCCCUCGACGCAGCUUAGGUUCGGUUCCUUUGAACCAGCCUCGGCGCCAGAGAUUCGAGGGAGGGCUUCAGAGAAGUAUGAGCGGGAUCUGGUUCAUCUUAAGCCGCAAGGAAAGCAAGCAAAGUCAGGGUCAUUCAGUAUUAAAAAUCCUAAGGAAGCUUUGACCGUAGUUUCUCUUGGGGAAUAUUUUGUUGUCGCUAGGAAUGCUGAUACGGGCCGGUCUCAGCAACGUGAUGCAGUGCAGCCAGCAAGGCAUAUGUUGUCCGGGUUGGGUACUGUGCCGAGGGGUGCGCCGCCUGGGUCGCCUAGGCAGGGUUCGCUGCUGCUGUAGAGUCCAUCGCCAGCCACCCAGGGGGUUGCUGUUUCUCGGCCAGCCACCCCUGGGGCUGCUACCUUUUUGCCAGCCACACCGAGGGCAAUUACAGCGACUCCUCCUCCUGGCCUACUUCCGUCGUUGGAUGCUGCUGCGAGAUCCACCCCUGCUGCUGGUUUCAUGUCAGCCGAGAGAUCAACCCCUGUUGCUGCGGUUCCUAUCGCUACUAUGGCUGCAACCGGGGCAUCAUCUUUGCGGGUGUCAGGGCUGGAGGGUACUGGUCAGGGGCACCAUGGCGAGGUCGUUGCACCGCCGUCUGUUGAGCAGGUCAUAGCAUACGGAGGUAUUCAAAGUCCGCUGACUUCGGACAGGAGGUCCAGUCGGCGAAUUCAGAAUCAACCUGAUGCGGAUUAUUUACAGAUGGGACGUGCUAUGCGUGCGGCUAAAAUGAGAGAUGUCGAAACUGAGACAGGUAUGUCUUUCAGCAUUAACGAUUCUAUUCUUCAUUUUUCUCCUCAAGAUAUUCUAGAUAAGGCAGGUUCUAUUGGGGUUACAUUGGGGAACAAUGGCCGAGAAAUUUCGAAAUCUAUUAAUGAUCUAUUAGACUUAGAGGUCGAUAGAGCGUUAGACUUAGUACGAAAUUUAGCGGCAGUUAAACCAAUGCAAGAGUCUGAAGUUAACGAUCUAGGGGGACUGAAUUCUCUUUGUGAUAGUCUGGCCCCGUCAGUGGAUAUAGAGGAUGGUGCGGGCGAGGUUUUAGUUGGUCAAGGGAUGUGUGCCCAAUCUCAUAAGGCUGAGCCUCAAUUCUCUGGUUAUAUGGACCAGGAGUUGCUGGAAAAGCCGAAGCGUCCAUGGAGACGGAAAGUGUAUCCGGUCUCUGCGAUACGUAGAAGUGCUAGAUUUAAGAUUGCCAAAAAAAAUUAUGAUGAUUAAUGAGAGGAAUUUUUUGGAAUAGCAGAGGUCUUUGAGACUUGGCUAAAAGAAGAUUUCUAGCAGAGGCUACUUUAGAGCAUCACCUUGAUUUUAUCGCAGUGAUGGAGACAGGGAGGGAUAACUUUACGUCUCAUUUUUUAAGUUCUCUAUCAGCUGGGGUGGAUUUUGACUGGCACUGUCUCCCUCCAAGAGGAAGGUCCGGUGGGAUCUUACUUGGGGUCCGUUGUGACACUUUUCAAGUGCGGGAGGUGGUGUUUGGGGAGUUUGCAGUCAAAUUCAAGAUUAGAUCUAAGGAUGACGGGUUCCAAUGGGCUCUCGUUGCCGUCUAUGGCGUAGCACAGCCAGAUCUAAAGCCUGAUUUCCUAGCAGAUCUGGUCAGGAUUUGUGAUGACAAACUACCAUUGCUGGUAGGUGGAGAUUUUAAUAUUAUUAGGCGGGCUGAUGAAAAAAGUAGUGUUAAUUUUGAUGGAAGAUGGCCUUUCAUGUUUAACACAAUUAUUGAGAGCUUAGAUAUGAGGGAGACCGCUCUAUCAGGUAGGAAAUAUACCUGGGUGAAUGCUCUACAGAAUCAGACAUUUGAAAAGUUGGAUCGUGUCUUAACUAGUGUAGAGUGGGAGCAGAAGUUCCCUCUAGUAACUGUUAGAGAACUUCAACGCGCAAUCUCGGAUCAUACUCCUCUGUUGCUGGAUUCCGGUGAGGCUAGCCAUAUAGGAAACAAACAUGGAUUCUCUUUUGAAUCAAGUUGGUUCACAAGGGAGGGGUUCAUGGAUAUGGUCGAGAGGGAAUGGAAUACAGAGGUCAGGGGCGAAACCUCUAUAGAAAGAUGGCAGUAUAAGAUUAGACAUCUUAGACAGUAUUUGAGGGGCUGGUCUAAGAAUGUGUGUGGAAUAUAUAAAGAAGAGCAAGAUAAGCUCCUCAAACUUAUAGACAAUCUAGAUCGGAAGGCUGAGAGUUGUCUUCUGGAUGCUAACGAAAGGGAUCUCAAAUUCGAGGCCGGACAGCGCUUGCGUAUUCUCCUAAGAGAGGAGGAAAUGAAAUGGGCGCUUGAGCCAAAGUGAAGGCCAUAGUUCUUGGAGACAAUAACACUAAAUUUUUCCACUUGAUUGCAAAUGGCAAGCAUAGGAAAAAGAAAAUAGUGCAGCUUGAGCAAGAUGAGGGUACAAUACUAGGUCAUGAGAAUCUAAAAUUGUACAUCUCUAACUACUACAAACAUUUAUUUGGUGCUCCUGAGCAUAGCUUUGUGACUAUGGAUGAGCAAAAAGUGGCGGAUAUUCCUCAAGUUGGAGAGGCUGACAAUGAGAUUUUAUCCGCUCCUUUCUCAGAGAAAGAGGUGUUUGACGCGAUAGGGAAUAUGAAGAAUGGAAAAGCUCCCGGUCCAGAUGGGUUUCCGGCGGAGUUUUACAAGCACUGUUGGCAUAUUAUUAAGAAUGAUCUUAUGUCAAUGUUUGCUGAUCUUUUUAGUGGUCACCUUCAACUCUUCCAUUUGAAUUUUGGUACUAUUACACUCUUACCAAAGAAGGAAGGGGCCACGCGGAUUGAACAGUUUCGUCCGAUCUGUUUGUUGAAUGUUAGCUUCAAGAUUUUCACAAAGGUGGGAACAGAUAGGUUGACUAAGAUGGCCCAUUCGGUGGUACAAUCUACGCAAACAGCUUUUAUGCCAGGACGGAAUAUCCUUGAAGGAGUCGUUGUCUUGCAUGAAACUCUUCAUGAAAUGCACUCGAAGAAACUAGAUGGGGUUAUCUUUAAAGUGGAUUUCGAAAAAGCUUACGAUAAAGUCAAAUGGUCGUUUCUCCAGCAAACCCUACGUAUGAAGGGUUUCGAUGAGCUGUGGCGUAGGCACGUCGAUUGUUUUAUAAAGAAGGGAAGUGUGGGUGUCAAAGUGAAUGAUGAUGUGGGUCAUUUUUUCCAGACACUAAAGGGUCUCCGCCAAGGAGAUCCAAUGUCUCCCAUUUUAUUUAACAUUGUUGCUGAUAUGUUGGCACUGCUGAUUAAGCGGGCCAAUGAGAAGGACCUUGUAAGGGGCUUGAUCCCUCAUCUUGUUGAGGGGGGGAGUCUCCAUUUUACAAUAUGUGGAUGACACGAUUCUUUUUUUGGAGCAUGAUCUCAGUAAAGCCAGGAACCUCAAACUUAUCCUAUGCUUAUUUGAACAGCUAUUAGGGCUGAAGAUAAAUUUUCAUAAAAGUGAAUUGUUUUGCUUUGGAAAGGCCAAGGAUGAGCAGCUCACGUAUAAUCAAUUGUUUGGUUGUGCUAGCGGGAGUUUACCUUUUACUUAUUUAGGGAUCCCAAUUCAUCACAGAAAAUUAUCAAAUAAGGAUUGGAAAUGUAUCGAGGACCGUUUCGAAAAAAGUUGAGCUGUUGGAAGGGCGAGCUCUUAUCGUAUGGAGGAAGGUUGAUACUGGUUAAUUCAGUAUUAACAAGUAUGCCUAUGUUUCUCCUAUCCUUCUUUGAAGUACCUGUUGGGGUACGGAAAAGGUUGGAUUUCAAUCGAUCACGGUUUUUCUGGCAAAGUGAUGAGAUCAAGACUAAAUACAGACUCUCGAGAUGGGACAUCAUGUGUAGACCUAAGGAUCAAGGAGGUUUAGGGAUUGAAAAUUUAGAGAUUAAAAAUAAAUGUCUACUCAAUAAAUGGCUGUCUAGAUUAUCUAUGGAGACAAAGGGGUUGUGGGUACAAAUUCUGACGAAUAAAUACCUACAAAACAAGACUUUGGCGCAGGUUACAUUGAGACCAACUGAUUCACCGUUCUGGAAGGGGGUCAUGCGGUCUAAGAAUGCUUUUUUUCUCAGGUCUAAGUUUGUUAUUGGCAAUGGCCAAUCUACUAGAUUUUGGGAGGAUACUUGGUUGGGGGAGACGCCUUUAGCCAUGCAGUAUCCGCAACUCUACCAUAUUACACAAAGGCGUCAGGCGACUGUUGCGUCAAUUUUGCGCCAGGUUCCUCUAAAUAUUCAGUUAUGUAGAGCCUUAAUAGGUAACACAUGGUCAAGCUGGCUGCAUCUAGUGAGAAGGUUGUUGGAUAUUACCCUUACUGAGAACCCUGAUAGUGUUCGUUGGAAGUUGACCACUGAUGGAGUUUUCUCGGUAAAAUCUAUGUAUUUAGAUCUCAUAGAUUCUGUGUCCAUCCCGAAGUCCUUACAUAUUUGGAAGGUCAAAGUUCCACUUAGAAUUAAGAUCUUCAUGUGGUUUGUUCGCAAGGGGGUUAUUCUAACUAAGGAUAAUUUGGUCAAACGUAAAUGAAAAGGUAAUACUAGAUGCAGUUUUUGUGAGAACGAUGAAACAAUUAAACACCUCUUUCUGGACUGUCCUAUGGCUAAACUUCUAUGGCGAACACUUCUUAUUACUUUCAACAUUAAGCCACCCAAUAGUUUAAACACGUCAUUUGGGACGUGGUUAAGAGGGGUCGAUGAUAUAACUGCUAGCCUGAUCCGAGUAGGAUCAUGUGCACUUCUGUGGGCUACAUGAAACUGUAGAAAUGACUUGGUAUUUAACAAACAUCAACAUAUUCACUUUUUGCAGGUCAUUUUCAGGGUUAUUGCCUUGAUCCGCACAUGAUCAUUACUCACUCCUGUGGAAGCCAGGGAGCCUAUGGUUACUGGGUGUGUCCGAUGGAAGAUGGUAGCUCAGGUUAUCUUCAACCGUUUUGGAUGACGGCAUAUUAAUAGGAUAGGUGUUUAGUCAUCUAGGCUUAUUUCAAUGCCUCCCGGUUGUGGCGACGACGCCGUGUAUCUUUUUGUUAUUUUCUUCAUUUACUUAUCUGAAGACUCUUUGUACUUUUCGAGGAUUUGGUUUUGAAAUAAUAUAUGGCCGUAUGCAUCCUUCGAUGCCGAGGCCGGGGCUUUGCCUCCUUUUCAAAACAAAAAAAUUUAAUUUAUCCUUUCAUUGUUAACCCCUUUUUUGGACUGCAGUUAUUCUAACUCUCUUUUAAGUAAUGUAAUAAGGCAUAUCUUUUUCCUCCAUUUCGAGACAAAGUUCGGACCUAGCACAACUGUAACAUCCGCUCUACAUCGACUCACUCUAGAGAGACUAGUCUUGGCACCUUUUGCAGAACAUGAUUAGUGUCCUGACAUGGAGUAUUUUAGCAUAUAAUGGUCAACUCUCAAGCACAUAUCACUUCAAAUUGCAUUGCUGAAAAAGAACAUACACUUGCACGUUUUUCGAACUUUCACGCAACAAUAAAGUAACUCAAUGAAAUAUUAUGAUACACUCAAAAACAAUAAUAAGCACUCAACAAAAUAUCAACAGUUUUAUUUUGAUGGACGUAGUAGGACUGUAUCUGUUGUCCACUUGGCUACUUUAUCAACAUAUUUAUUUCAACCACCCUGAUCAACAGACAAUAUCUAAGUAUGUUAUGCUAAUUGAGUUAAAAUGGAUAAUCCUUAUUUUAUAAGAUGCAAGGAGUCGAAACAUAUUGUGAUUAGUUGCAUGCUACUAGCCUACUACAACACUAUUGAUCUUAGUUAAGAAGAUUAUCUUGUGAUUAGACGAAGUCUAGAUCAUCUAGCCAAGUAUGAAAAUAUUUAAAGGAGCGUGUGGAUACCUUUUCUUCUUUAAUAAAGGAAAAAAAAUUGUGUAUAUAUGCGAGUCUGAAAACAAAGAAAAGAAAGAUGGACAGCUUAUCACAGCUUCACAUAUGUCAUCUACUCCCUGCGUUCCUAAAUAUAAGUCUUUUAAAAGAUUUUACUAAAAGACUAUAUAUGAAGCAAAAUGAAUGAAUCUACAUUUUAAAUAUAUCUAUAUACAUUCUUUAGAAAGACUUAUAUUUAGGAACGGAGGGAGUAAUAGCUAAUUGAGGGGUUCAAAUAACUUUGUUUCGCAAUAAUGAUUGAAAAUCAACCUUUUGUUGAAAUCCGAAACUCUACGUACGGUAGACCUAUUUUUAUCAAGGGAAUCAACAAAGAUGAUCUGCUACAUAAAAAUGCGCGUAUGGUCACUCACGAGCCACAAGGACGAUGCUUGAGUAGUGAUGAGUGAGGUGCACGAUGAGAUUAAAUAUUCCAACUAGUGUAACCGAAAAGUAUAGUAAGUUAGACAUCGUUCUUGGUCCACGAAAAUAGUGGCGUGAUCGAUGACAUCUUGAUGCCGGCCGGAGACUAGGAUCUGGCUGUUUGAUAGGGUACCAAUUAAUUUAUACCCUCCACUUGGCCAACUUACUUCAUCACCAGUCGAUAACUGUAUACGCAUUGUUCCAUAUUCAUGCAUGCACGUGCUUACAGCCCAAGAGCAUUGGGUUUAGCUGGUGCUGUCUGAUCCGCUUGAACUCGUAGAAAAAGGGCCUUUGGCCUGGACCCUUUAGUCCCAGCCUGUCUUUCGGUCGGAACUAAAAGCCGGCCACGUCAUCCCAAAUUAUCAGUUUAACCCGCUUGGCCACCAUUUAUAUCAUUAAAAAACCUCAAAUUUGUAGCGGGGUGAGUUUACAUGUUACCUUGGAUCGCCAUUGUUUUUUUGGCCCUGCGUGUAACGACGAUGGCCGGAGUAGGCUCGUGCAGAUUAGUCCUCCUCUUGGUAAUUAAGGAGUAUAUAUCCACUAGCUAGUGUCUGACAUUCAGAACCUCCACUCGAUGGCCAGAGUAUUUGAUAUUUAUACUCUCCUCUUGGUAAUUAAGGAGUGCAUAUCCACUAGCUAGUGAUCUAAACGUUUCUAUAUUAAUUUAUGGAGGAAAUAUUUAAUAAGGUUAUUACCCAACAUUACAGGCGCCAUCCGAUAAACCAUAUCACUUUUUUUUGCGAGGACCUAAACCAUAUUCAAAAUGCAGAAUUACUGGCACGUGGUGUAGUUUACGGAUCGAGCCUCCUCCUUCGUGGGCACCAUAGUAGUCAUGCAAGACAUCGUAGUUAUAUAGUGGUCAAGUGUGAGUUAUGAUUGCUUGUAUAUUUUUUAUGCGAUUUAUGAGUCAAUAAAAGUGCUUUUAUUGAGAAAUGUAUCUAUAUUGAUUAUUGUUGAACCUGCCAUUAAUGUAACUAUUUACACAUGUGCGGGGCCAUGCCGUCCAACACGAGGAGCUUCAAAGCGUAUGUGUGGGAGGGGAGUGCGUCGAUGCUGCAAUGACGAACUGCUCUUGGUCGGCGUCCAGCCGGUGUUCCUCACCGGCCAGACCGAGGACCAUAGGGACAUCAUCGUCACCAACCUCCACCGCCCGAGUUCAAGGGCUCCACGGUAACCUACAAGUCUCAUGAGAGGCAGAAGUUGCCGACGACCUGGUAUGUCAUCGUGGGCACCAUUGAUGACCAAGGGAACGACAUCCUGGGGGUAUCCGGUGGGGGGCACACCUUCAAGUUGCCCGACCACAACGGCUAGGCUACAUAGAGAUCGGCCAUGCCUUGAUUGAUUUCUUGAGUAAGCUCUAUGCUUUCAAUUGUAUGCAUGUUUAGUAAACAAUCCCUCCCUAGUUGUUGCUUUGUUCAUUUUCAUUGUCGAGAACUUGAGAUCAAUAGUUAGUAUUUAUAAGACGUGUUACGCUAAAAGUUGCAUGCAACAUAAUCAAUGGUUUGUUGGUUUUAUUGUUUCUCUCUAUUACGAGAUCCAUGGGCUAUAUUGUUGUUUGAUGUAUUGUAAUUCUUAACUUGGAUCUGUAAUAUUGAUCAUGGUGUACUUUUUAACUAAAGAUUGUUGAUGGUGGAAUUAGUAUGAAAGGUACAUAGUGCUGUCACACAUAGGGUGUCACUACUCCCAUUUUGGCCCAACAGAAGGAAGGGUCAUCAUUUACGGGUCACCAGACUGCGUUAGUAUAGAGGCAACAAGGUAUUUUAACCAUGCCGAACAUCAUUAUUGUGAAGAUUAAAAAUGAGGCGGCAACUUGGGUCAAUUUUUGGGGUGGAGGAUUUGAGAAACACUAUGCCCCGUGAGAAACUCCGCUAUAUUAUUUAAGUCUUUCGUUUUUAGCCUCUCUUUUUUCGGCAGCGGUUCUUCCAACUCUCCUAGUAAAUAGAAAGGGGGAAAGAAAAUCUUUUGCCUCCAUUUUGAAAAAGAAAAGGUUGAGACUAACAUCCCUUUCCAUCGACCCACUCUAGAGAGUGUCUCCAACCUUGUUUUCUUGGCCCUUUUGCAUGACAUGAGUAGUGUCCUAACAUGGACUCCUUGAUGUGUAACGCUCAGCUCUCCUGACCAAAUCGCUUAGAAUUACAUCACACGCAAAAGUUAUAUACUUUUGCAUGUUUUUCGCACGUCAAUGCAACAUUAAAAAUUUCAAUGAAACAUUAUGAUACAUUUUGAAACAAAAAAGAACUCAGCAAAACAUACUGUGGAAAUAGAAAAUUUUUGCCAACAACUAAAAAAACGCAGUCAUCAAUUUAGCCGCAACAAAAAUAAGAUGUUAGAAGUCAGAACAUCUUGUGCAUGAUUAUAUGCUAUAGGACUAUUCAUUAGAGAAACUAGUUGGGUAAAACUUUCUCCUUUUUCCGAAUCUCCUUUUUAAUGUGGGGAAAAAGCUAAUGCAUUGUGGUUUAAAGUAAAUAUUACAUCGGCCUGGGAAAUUUAAAAUGAAUCUAGACUGGACGGCUACAAAGAGAACCAUAAAAGUAUUCAAGCACGUCAGAAGAAAAGGAAAGAUAAAAUUCAAAAAAGAAAAGAGAAAAGGAAAGAUGAACAACCUAUCACUUGCCUCAUAUCUUUACCUAAUAAUAAAGAGGCUAUUGCUUCCGUCGAAAAACCCACCGCUGCCGUUUUUUAAAAAGCCCCCUGUCUUUUAGGUAAUUAAACCCGCAGUACCUUUUUAUGUGUUACGAACAUGAAAACGUUUCAUUUUUGCAGGGAGCCUCCCAUGGCAUUGGAUAAGAGAAACGCAUCUGGGCUGACGAAAACGCACGAGAGGGCUAUCGCUUCUGCCCUCAUAAUCCCACAUCGAUACUUCACAGAUAAUUUCAUCACUUUAUAUACAUGCGCCUUGGUGAUUUUACAAGAGGCAACGGAAAUCAAGAGAGGAACAAAUUCGAGAAGAAGAAAUUGAGAUGACGCAAACAGAGGUGGAGCUGCGAGACAGAGGGGGCUCGGGGCGAAGGAAAGGGUCGGGCGCCGGCGAUGCAUACGUGGAGGUGGGGGCGUCGGGGUUAGAGGAUUCAGGCAACCGGCGGGGUAAGUCUUGCCGGAGACUGGCCCCAUAGGCCGACCUCGCAGCAGCACACCAUGGGAGGUGGUCGCGAGGUGCAGAGGUGGGAGGCGGUGGAGGAGCGGAGGAGGAGGCGAGUGCGGGCGCCAUUGGAAGGGGGGAGUCGGGGAGAUUGGGGAUCCUGUGGGGCUCUCUCCCCUAGCGGCGCGAGGUGGAGGAGAGGAGGGGGGCUGGGGAUCGGGCUAGGUUAGGGGAUUUAGGAGUGGGUAAGGCUAUGCCUUGGCACGCCUAAUGGGUUGUGCACUACUACUCAUCUCUCUUUCCUUUAAUUUCUUUAUCUAAAUUCUUUAAUUAAAAAUAUGUGGUAUUAUUUUUUUUCCGUUGCAACGCACGGGUCCUUUUGCUAGUAUCAUCUAACAAAUCGAGGGGUUCGCAUAGAUCUGCUUCGCCACAUAAUAAUAUAAUCAUGACAAAAGGCUACCUUCUGGUGAAAGCAGAAGCUCUGCAAUAAAGCUGCAAUCGUAGACCUAUUUUAUGAAGGGAACCAACAAAUCGAGCUGCACAAUCCAAUUAAAUACUAAUUCCUCCGUUCCUAAAUAUAAGAUUUUUUAAAGAUUAUAUUAUGAACUACAUAAAAAGAAAAA
rnacentral:lncRNA from 1 species